rnacentral:lncRNA from 1 species
UUUUUUUUUUUUUUUUUUUUUUUUUUGCUAUAAGCAAUUUUACAAAAAAAAAGGUUACCAAACACUCAAUAAUUUUAUAUUAUAGCUGUUUAUUCUCAUAUCACAGUAGAAUAAUUUUUUUUUAAAGCACAACAAUACCAAAUUAGCCAUUAUUCACUACAAUCAUUCCUAAAAUGGUAGGAUGAAAGGAGAAAUUUAAUUCAUGUUUAGCCCCUUUAAUCCGAUCCUCUAUAUGAAAUGAGACCUAAAUUUGUGGUGUCACUUAGUAUUACGAUUUAGAGUUAUUUUUCUUCACUUAUAAGUGAGAGAUUUUUUUUUUUUUUAACAAACGAUAUUAUCUACACUAAGGAGGUGGGGGAAUGCACUAAGCCUCACAAUGGGCUAGCAAUAAUGUAGUUCAAAUUCGCCUUUGGCAAGAGUUGCAUGCAUAUAUGGAGACGACCUAUUCAACCUUCAAUGCCACUAAUAUUGUCCUACAACAACAAUAUAGGGCACCAAAUUUCACCAAAUUUUCAAAUUUGAUCUCUGUUUUACUUCUUUCUGAAAAGCAAAACCAACUUUUGAUGAAAAAUCAUCAAGCUCAACCCAUUGGCUUGAACGCUACGCUUGAAGCGCAUGCGACUAAUUUUAGCAGCCACAAACGACAGAAGAACCAUCGUAGCCAUGGAAAUGGGCGGCAACUCCAGCCACGGGUGCAAGGUCAACAAAGCAAAGGCCUUGCCAAGGGAGGCCCCUAACUUCAAGAACAAGGGAAAAGCUACCAUUUAAUCGAAUUCCACUACAUUGGACAUGUGCUACCGUUGUGGAUCAAUGGACCAUUGGUCACGCGUAUGUUGAGCUACCCCUGAGACUAUUGCCAAGUAUCAUUCCUGUCAUGAGUCUAAUUUUGCACAUGUGGAACAUCCCGAUGAUACUACCACAACUAUAGAGGUUUCAAAUUUUCAGGUGGCUAGCAUUAUGUUUCUCUCAGGCAUCGAAUUUACUACAUCUCUCUCCAUUUUAUUGUUCUUUUGUUUCUCUCAGACAUCGAAUCUGUCAUCUCUUUCCAGCCCAAUACUUAUCAUUUAUAUGUAUUCACAAACUUUUGAUUCAAUCGUAUGACGUGUUCUGGCAAUUUCUGUAUUUGUAAUGCAGGUCUCACAGCCAUACACUUUAUUUUUCAGUGAUGAGAAUCUGGAAACCAUGGCUAUCAAGAAAGAAUUCUCAUUGGAGGAGGUUGAGAAUGAUGAGGUGGAUAACUAUGCAUGUUCAUACAAUUUUGGGGGUGCCGACCCGGCAGAGGGAGAGGAGAACGAUUAUGGAGACGGGGGUAUGGACAUGGAUGACGGAGGCAAUGGCGAUGACUAAGUAUUGAUAUGAUAAUGUUGGUUUGGUCACAUGGAGCCGUGUGAGAUGAAAGUCUCAUGCACCGUUUUGAAUGAGAAAGGAGUGAGGAAUCCUCUUUUCGACUAUGACCCCCACUCCAGUUGUUGCUUUUUCUUUCUAUUACUUCAAAAGUAGCUGCUUUAGCUUUAACCACCCAAUUUUUUUAUAUUCGUUUGGGUGGGAGACUUCUUGUGUAAGUUAAACUACCGUCAGCUAUUUAGAUGCGUCAAGUCCCACCCCCACCCCCACAUAUACCGAUUACUAUUACAAUGGAAAACAUAGUUUUGUCUUAACUUUUGUGCCGAUUAUACUGACUACUAUUCUUGUCUCGUCUUCACUUGUAUGUGAUACGUAUAAAGUUCGACUUGUAUGGAUGUGUGGCUGCUCAAGCCUUCAUUCCUUUAGAUAUAAAAUAAAUAGUAUCAAAAAUAUUUGUACUGGUUGUCACUAACAUUGCUGUUUAGUAGUAAUUAUUUUAUCACUUACAAGCUGAAAGCCUUGAGAGGACUCUUAACACUUGUUGCUGUUUAGUAGAAAACUUUUGUAGGAGUUGUAUUUUGUCUUAUACGUAGAAUUAACGUUUCUGAUAAAAAAACGAUAAGUUUUCUACUAAAGUUUGGUGACAACCGCUACUGUUUUUUAUAAGAAUAGAAAAUUAAGGGUGUUUGUACCAUACUUGACCAAUCCCGAAACUACUGAGUACUAGUCAACGUUAUACCGUUAAGGACCCAUAAGAGUUUCCCUCCAACCAUGAGGCCAAUCACAGCACGACAUGUGUUGACAUCAGAAGCCAAUCAUAGCGCGACACAUGUCAACAUCAGAAGCCAAUCACAACACGACACGUGUCAAUGUCAAAACAAAGCUAGAAACUCUCUUCUAUAAAAGGAGAUCAUUCUCCCACAAUAUUUUCUAAUGUCAUUUGUACUAAAUCAUUCAUUAGUACUCACUAAAGGAGAGCUUCAACCUAUGUACUUGUGUAAACCCUUCACGAUUAAUGAGAACUCCUCUACUCCGUGGACGUAGCCAAUCUGGGUGAACCACGUACAUCUUGUGUUUGCUUCCCUGUCUCUAUCCAUUUGUAUACUUAUCCACACAAGUGACCGGAGCAAUCUAGCGAAUGUCACAAACUUGACACUUUCUGUUGUACCAAAGUCCCCACUGAUUUUGUGCAUCAACAAAGGGUGUGUUUGUUUGCCUUCACUAAAUCUCCUUGGAUUGGAAUGGACUAGCUAUUAGUCCAAUAUCGUAUUUGUUACACAAGGAAUAGAUUUAAUGAGAUUAGAGCCGACUCGUCCCGACUAAGUCCUUUGUUAAAAGGUCUUAGCAAGACCCCCCAAUAAGCACUAGAUUACUAAGACCAUUCGUGUCCUCGUCCAGUCGUUCUCCUCGCUUCUUUGUUCUGGUCUGGUCAGCCGACCUCACCAGACCACCCCACCGACAGCGAUGGCGACGAUCGUCGACGAGAUGUACUUGUUUUUGGCUCCGCACUUCUUUGACUUCAUAAAGGAUGAGAGCGAAGCCGAGUCUACCAUAGAAAGCUCUUCAUUGCCGGCGGCAUGGCCAUUCACGUUAAUUGGAUGAGGGGAUGAGGAUGGGUCAUCAGAGAAGAGAGGUUGGAUGAGGAGACGAUGGUGGGCUCGCGGCUAGAGGAUUGAUUCAGAGAUGGAGGAUCUCAAUUACGCAGAGGUCUGAUAGACUGAUUCGCUUCUUUCCAUUUUUUCCCCAUUUUUUAUUUUUUAUAUUUUUAUCUUUUUGAUUUAGGGGAAAUUUAUCGACAGUGUGGAUUUAUUGUUUGGUUUGAUUUGAAUUGGGCAAGUAAAUCUUUGGUUUUUUUUUAUAUAGAAAACGAACUUUUGGAGUGGAUUAUGAGUUAAUUUGCAAUUUCUCCUCCUGCGUAUUUUUCAAUUUAGGAUUUGAUUGUAGGUUGUUAGAAUUUGUAUGAAAUUUUUUUAUUAUGAUUGUAUACGGUCCAUUUUUCAUUGGUUUUGUUAUCCCAUUUCUUAGUUCGACACAUCAUUAAACGUUUCACUAAGUUAGUCUAGCUUAGUCUAUUUUAAGUCAGUCCAGCUUAGUCCCAGAAGUUAAUCCAGUUCGAGAUAAUCCGGUACAACAAAUGCACCCUAAGUAUGACGCAUCGUGCUACAAUGAUUAGGGAAAUCGAAUGACUAUUUUGCUUUGUUAUUAAGGUUUUGGAGGCAAUCUCCUUGGUCGAUGUUACAAGGCGCUUUAUCGAGGCAUUAGCUCUGCAGUUUGGAAGACCAGUGGAAGCUGAUUCGGUAGGCAUCCUGGGCAUGUAAUGCUCUCUGCAAAGUUCUUGAAACGUUAAGACUAAUUGUUCAUGUAUCUAAUUCAUAAAGCUUAUUAAGUCUUGCAUGUUUAUGUUUAAUCUAAACAUCAUUGGUGGAUUACAUGUUAGGUGUACGUAAUUACUUGAACAUCACGAGGAGAAUAAGCAUUAAUAAAACUUAACCUUUAAAGUUGCAUAUUUUAACUCAUAAGUAAUUUGUAGAACUGCAUAGGAUUGUUAAUGGUGGGUGCUAAACCUUAGUGCUUUUUCACAUUUGAUUUCUGUCUAUAACUUUAUUUUAUUUUAGGAAAAAUUAGUAUCCGGUCCCUAGUUUUUACUAUUCAUUGACUAACACCUUAUUAGUUCUCAAAUUUUGAUUCAAGUCCCUAGCAUUAAUGUGAUAAUGAAUUUACAUGUUUAUUAUAUAAUUUUUUUAAUAUAAAAAUUAGUAAUUAAUUUAGGGUUUAAUACUCACACCUCUAUUAAACUUCUAAUUAAUUUUCAAUUCAAACAUUUCCAAAAUAAUAAAAAAUUAAAUUAAAUUAAGUUUGUACCUAUUAGUUUUUUUUAUAUAUAAAAAGAUUCUCAAUUUUUUAAUCUUAAAUGUACCCAUUCAUAUAAUUUUUCAAUUUUUUUAAUCUUAAAUGUACCCAUUCUCAAAUAUAUCAAUUUGUUAUAUGUAAAAUGUACCCUUUUUUAAUAUAAAAUCCAUUCAAAUUUUUUAAUCCAUGUUUAAACUUAUAUGGGUACAUUCUUUUUCGUUGAUUUGAGAAUGUAUCCAUGUUUUGGUACAAUAACUUUUUUUGUUAAUUUUGGUUAAUGUACCCAUACAUAUAUGUACACACACACACAAUAUAUAGAGAGAAUAAUUUAUAUUUUAUUAUUUUUAAUCCCAUAAUUAUGGGUUUUAUUUAAAAUCUCAUUAAUAUAAACAAUUACAAAUUUCAAUUUUUAAUUUUUAAUUAAAAAAAUAUAGUAACUUACAUUAUUACAUUAAUAUCAGGGACCUCAAUCAAAAACUAAAAACUAACAAGGUUUCAAUCAAAGGAUAUUGAUAGCUAGGGACCGCAUCCAAAGUGUCCCGGAAAAAUUAGUAUCCGGUCCCUAGUUCUUAUUGUUCAUUGACUAAGACCUUAUUAGUUCUCAAAUUUUGAUUCAAGUCCCUAGCAUUAAUGUAAUAAUGAAUUUACAUGUUUAUUAUAUAAUUUUUUAAUAUAAAUAUUAGUAAUUAAUUUAGGGUUUAAUACUCACACUUCUAUUAAACUUCUAAUUAAUUUUCAAUUCAAACAUUUUCAAAAUAAUAAAAAAAUUAAAUUAAAUUAAGUUUGUACCUAUUAGUUUUUUUUUAUAUAUAUAAAAAGAUUCUCAAUUUUUUAAUCUUCAAUGUACCCAUUCAUAUAAUUUUUCAAUUUUUUUAAUCAUCAAUGUACCCAUUCUCAAAUAUAUCAAUUUGUUAUAAGUAAAAUGUACCCUUUUUUAAUAUAAAAUCCAUUCAAAUUUUUUAAUCCAUGUUUAAACUUAUAUGGGUACAUUCUUUUUCGUUGAUUUGAGAAUGUAUCCAUGUUUUGGUACAAUAACUUUUUUUGUUAAUUUUGGUUAAUGUACCCAUACAUAUAUGUACACACACACACACAAUAUAUAGAGAGAAUAAUUUAUAUUUUAUUAUUUUUAAUCCCAUAAUUAUGGGUUUUAUUUAAAAUCUCAUUAAUAUAAACAAUUACAAAUUUCAAUUUUUAAUUUUUAAUUAAAAAAAUAUAGUAACUUACAUUAUUACAUUAAUAUCAGGGACCUCAAUCAAAAACUAAAAACUAACAAGGUUUCAAUCAAAGGAUAUUGAUAGCUAGGGACCGCAUCCAAAGUGUCCCGGAAAAAUUAGUAUCCGGUCCCUAGUUCUUAUUGUUCAUUGACUAAGACCUUAUUAGUUCUCAAAUUUUGAUUCAAGUCCCUAGCAUUAAUGUAAUAAUGAAUUUACAUGUUUAUUAUAUAUAAUUUUUUAAUAUAAAUAUUAGUAAUUAAUUUAGGGUUUUAAUACUCACACUUCUAUUAAACUUCUAAUUAAUUUUCAAUUCAAACAUUUUCAAAAUAAUAAAAAAAUUAAAUUAAAUUAAGUUUGUACCUAUUAGUUUUUUUUAUAUAUAUAAAAAGAUUCUCAAUUUUUUAAUCUUCAAUGUACCCAUUCAUAUAAUUUUUCAAUUUUUUUAAUCAUCAAUGUACCCAUUCUCAAAUAUAUCAAUUUGUUAUAAGUAAAAUGUACCCUUUUUUAAUAUAAAAUCCAUUCAAAUUUUUUAAUCCAUGUUUAAACUUAUAUGGGUACAUUCUUUUUUCGUUGAUUUGAGAAUGUAUCCAUGUUUUGGUACAAUAACUUUUUUUGUUAAUUUUGGUUAAUGUACCCAUACAUAUAUGUACACACACACAAUAUAAUAGAGAGUAUAAUUUAUAUUUUAUUAUUUUUAAUCCCAUAAAUUAUGGGUUUUAUUUAAAAUCUCAUUAAUAUAAACAAUUAGAAAUUUCAAUUUUUAAUUUUUAAUUUUUAAUUUAAAAAAUAUAGUAACUUACAUUAUUACAUUAAUGUCAGGGACUUCAAUCAAAAACUAAAAACUAACAAGGUUUCAAUCAAAGAAUAUUGAUAACUAGGGACCGCAUCCAAAUUGUCCCAUAUAUAUAUAUAUAUAUAUGUAUAUGUAUAUUUACUGUCGCACUUAACAUAUUGCUCUUGAUUAUCACUUUGUGCGAGAACAUGUUGCUCACACGCAUUAGGUUCAGUUUGCUUCUUCCGAGGUGCAGUAGUCAGAAGUCUAUCACAAUCGCACUUCUUGCUGUUGACUUUCAAAAUCCUCACUUCGCAUGUGCCUCGUUUGCGGGGGGAGUGCUAUAGAUAUGGUUGUUUGAAUUGUACUCCAUUCAUGAUUUGAAUUGUACUAUCGUGAUAAAUUCUUAUUAAUGUUGGACUAUCAGAAACUUCACAUGAUGCACUUUUUUGGAAGAGAUUUUGUGACAAUUGUGGUAGUUUUUAUGUAUUCUUCAUCUUUUAAUUGGUCGAGUUCGGUGAAUCAAGCAUGGUUCACAUGGAAUCAAAGCGGAGCAUGUCUACUAAGAUACAAGCAAAAGAAAUGUAUGUCAUCUAUUCUCAUGAUAAAGUGGGCAAAUUAUAUAACUAACCAAAAUGUUACUUCAUUAUAGUUGGUAAUUUAUAUUGCAUAAUAAAGGUUGCAAGAGGAAACCAAAUUUCAUUAAAGCAGUUACAAAAGCAGUUAUAUAUUACUAUAUUUAUAUAAUAUAUAGUAUUAUAUAGGUAAUCGAUCAUAUUAGAAGCUGUUGACAACUAAGUUUUGACAACUCUUAUUUCAAGGAAUCAUCUAGCUCAUAUUGACUCAAUUUUGAUGGAUAAUUGGUGGGGGUGGUCGCAAAUUGUUCAAACUUGGUGGUGGUGGUGGUGGAGGAAGAUUGUCGAAGAUUGUUUCGACCUGGGGAUGGUGGUGGGGGAGGAUUGUUUCGACUUACUAAAGGUGGUGGAGGAGGAUUAUUUAGAUUUGGUGGAGGUGGUGGUGGAUGGAUGUUCUGAGGUAGUGGAACUUGUGGGGGAUUGUUCCAACCACGUGAUGGUGGUGGUGGAUGACUGUUUUGACUAGGUAAAGGUGGUGGCGGUCGAUUGUUUGGCUGGGGUGGCGGUGGAUUGUUCUGACUUGAUGAUGUUGGUGGCGGUGGAUUGUUCCGACUUGGUGAUGGUGAUGGUGGUGCUCGUUGAGGAUUGUUUCGACCUGGUGAAGGUGCUGGAGUAGGGUUGCUAUGACUUGGUGAUGGUGAUGGUGGUAGAUUGUUCAAAGGUGGUGGUGCUCGUGGAGGAUUAUUUCGUCCUGGUGAUGGGGCUAAUGAUGGAUUGUUCUGAGGUGGUGGUGCUCGUGGAGGAUUGUUUUGUCCUGAUGGUGGGGCUAGUGGUGGAUUAUUUUGAGGUGACGAUAUUAACGGUGGAUUAUUCAUAGGCGGUGGUGCAGGCGAAUGAUUGUUUUUACCCGGUGAUGGUGCUAGUGGUGAAUUAUGUUGAGGUGGUGCUUGCGAAUGAUUGAUUUGACCCGGUGAAGGUGCUGGAAAAGGGUUGGGCUUACCAGGUGUAGGUGUUGGUGGUGGAUUGUUCUGAGUUGGUGGUGUUCGUGGUGCACUGUUUUGACUCGGUAAAGGUGCUGGAGGGGGGUUGCUUUGACCUAGUGUUGGUGUUGGAGUUGGUGGUGGAUUCUUUCCAGGGGGUGUUGGUGUUGGUGUUGGUGUUGGUGUUGGUGUUGGCGUUCGUGUUGAUGUUGGUGUUGGUGUUGGUGUUGGUGUUGGCGUUGGUGUUGGCGUUCGUGUUGAUGUUGGUGUUGGUGUUGGUGUUGGCGUUCGUGUUGGUGUUGGCGUUCGUGUUGGUGUUGGUGUUGGUGUUUGGUUUGGUGUUGUGUUGGUGUUGGUGUUGGCGUUUGGUGUUGUGUUUGGUGUUGUGUUGGUGUUGGUGUUGGCGUUCGUGUUGAUGUUGGUGUUGGUGUUGGUGUUGGUGUUGGCGUUGGCGUUGGCGUUGGCGUUGGCGUUCGUGUUGGCGUUGGCGUUGGCGGUGGCCGUGGCGUUGGUGGUGGCGUUGGUGGUGUUGGCGUUGGCGUUGGCGUUGGUGUUGGUGUUCGUGUUGGCGUUGGCGUUGGCGUUGGCGUUGGUGUUGGUGUUGGCGUUGGCGUUGGUGUUGGUGUUGGUGUGGUGGCGUUGGUGUUGGUGUUGGCGUUGGCGUUGGCGUUGGCGUUGGCGUUGGUGUUGGCGUUGAUGUUGGUGUUGGCGUUGGUGUUGGUGUUGGUGUUGGCGUUGAUGUUGGUGUUGGUGUUGGCGUUGGAGUUGGAGCUGGUGUUAGAGUUGGUGUUGAUGUUGGUGGCAGACCUUUUCUAGGUGGUGUUGGAGUUGGUGUUGGUGGUUGAUUUUUUUGAGGUGGCGGCGGGGGAGGAUUUUUCUGAGGUGGCGGUGGUGGCGGAUUCUUCUGAGGUGGGGGUGGUGGCGGUGGAUUCUUUUGAGGUGGCGGCGGUGGAGGAUUUUUCUGAGGUGGCGGUGGUGGCGGAUUCUUCUGAGGUGGGGGCGGUUGCGGUGGUUUGUUUUGAGGUGGCGGUGGUGGAGGAUUUUUCUGAGGUGGCGGUAGUGGCAGAUUCUUCUGCGGUGGGGGUGGUGGCGGAUUCUUCGGAGGUGGAGGUGGUGGUCGUCUCAGUACAAAAGGAGGAAGAAAUGGCGGCUUGUAAAAUGGUGGUAGCCAUGGCUUGGGAAAUGGUGGUAUAAACAUUGAUGGCUUGUAAAUUUCGUGUCUUAUGGGAGUGACUUGUAGCUUGUCAUCCUCAUUGUAUUGGGCAUUGGAUGAAGUUGUGAUAAGAAUAACCACUACAAGAAAUAGCACAAACAACUUUAAGUAAGUCAUCUUUGCUCUUCUUGUGUUACAAAAUGAGAAGGGGCAUCAUUUUAUAGGGGCAAGAAUGAUGGGUUUUGUGUUAAUAAUUUUGGUCAAUAGGCAAUUGGUAAUUCAUAGGCUCCAAUUGGGGUAGUAUCUGCCCAACUGGUCUAAUAACAUUGCUUUUAUGGUAGGGGAAGCUGAAAAUUUUUGGCAUGCUUUAUAAAUUGUAUUCCUUAUUCCUAAAUUGUUCAACAAAAAAAAUAUAUAUUUGUUUAAAAAUUUAGUAAAAAAGGGGUGCGUCUUGCAAUCUUGCAUUCGUUUUAGUGGUAGCCUCAGGAAUUUUAUUCCAGGAAUUUUUUAUCCGUUACCAGUUACCAUUUCGAGUUUCAAAUCCCCAAAACUGAAGCGGUGUAGUCUAGCAUUCUUGUUCAAGUGUUUGGAAAAACACUAGAAAAGAUAGAAAAAUGAAUGAGUUUUUAAUUGUCUUUAUUAUUUAGGGAGAUGACAUACCCACCCAUCAACAUUAUUUCUCCACCCACUUUUUAAUGAUACUUUUAAUGACAACUCUAAGCUUUUGCAAAAUGACUUAUAAGGCCAUCUUUAACUAUUUUAUUCUUUUGUUUUUGUAUUAAAUUCUGAAAAUAGAAGGAACAAAAACAUGAGCCCAGCAAGUUGAAACCACCGCACACAACACAAACCAAGUUGAAUCCACCGUUUUCCUCAUCUCUUAUGCCAAUUCCUUCCCAUCCAUUCGAAAUCUUCAUCAAACACCAUAGGCCCAUUACAAUUACCUUAAGAAACCUUGAUAAUUGGAUUCUCUCAUACCCAUUUGACGUGGUUUUGAUACCCCUCUUCUACGAUUAGUCCUCUACUUGAGUUGUAAUUGCAGAGAGCGACUACGAGGUCGACCGAGGAUGUUGCUCAUCCUCAUAGUCUUGAUCAAAUUAGAGACAUAAUUGGCUGACGAUGAGAAGGGGGUUGCUUGCCGUCGAGUGGAUGGAUAUGUGGUGGUGAUUAAUUUUCUUUGUAAGGGAUAGUUUAGGAAUAUCAAUGGGUGGGAAAAUAGUGUUUUCAUUUUUACCUUUUGAAUGGGGUGGAAAAAUAAGGUGGGGUGGGGAAAUAGGAUUGUGAGGUGGGUCUAAUAGCUCUCAUUAUUUAAUACCAAGGUUAUCUAACUUAUUGGCAUUCGAUACUCCAUCAUUCCAACAUUUGGCUUUUGUAUUUAAAUCCAAUCAAUUUUCUUUUCUUCUUAAAUGUUUGGCCUUAAACUGUCAUUUUCCUCUUAAUCGGUCGUCCCUUUCUGUUCAACCUUUGUCUUUAUGUAAAUGGCAAGAGUUUGGCCACUGGGUAAUUGGGGUUUAGCCAUUGACGCUUGGACAUUUAAACUCUAAGCUUAGCAUAUAUGGAUGGGGUUAAGCAUCCUAUUCUCCAUCCCCUUGCUAAAUAUGUUGGCAGGAUAUGUAAAGACCAAGAAGCGUUUGGUGCUAAGGAUUGGAUUGAAAUGCAUAAAACAUUUCAAGGUAUGUUGAAAGAAAAAUUGAAAACAUUGUGGCCAACUAGGAAGUAGGAAUCAAUAAGACAACUUAGGGCUGAUUUGGGAUUGUGGUGUUUUUUUUUUUUUUUUUUAAAGCAACAUAUAAAAAAAAUCUGGAACAUCAAAUAUGUUUGGUAAAAAAAAAAAAUUUAAAAACUGAUGUCAAUAAUAGUAGAAAAGCAGAAGUAGAACCUACUAUGCUUAUAACAAAAUUGUUUUUUUUUUUAAACAUAGUGAUCAGUGCCAAUUUAAUGAAAUUUUCAAAUGACAAGUAUACCCACCAAAUUUUACAAAAUUACAAUAUUUACCCUUACAUUAUUCUCUUUAGCAAUUAUUAUAUCACAUUAAAUAUCAUAUAUUUUUUAGUCAUUUAGCAUAUUCACAACAAUUUUAUAUAAAAGUUUACCAAACUUUUUUUUUUUGCUAUAAGCAAUUUUACAAAAAAAAAAAAAGUUUACCAAACACUCAACAAUAUUUUAUUUUACAGCUGUUUAUUCUCACAUCACAGUAGAAGCAGUUUAUUUUUUUAUUUUUUUAUCUUUUUAAGCACAACAAUACCAAACUAGCCAUUAUUCACUACAAUCAUUCCUAAAAUGGUAGGAUGAAAGGAGAAAUUUCAUUCAUGUUUAGUCCCCUUUAAUUUGAUCCUUUAUAUGAAACGAGACCUAAAUUCAAGAAUGUCAUAAAUAAAAUAGGUUCCUAAAAGCUAUACAAAUAUAACCACUUGGAUAUAUAUUAAUGGGCGGCAACUCCAGCCACGGGUCCAAGGUCAACAAAGCAAAGGCCUGGCCAAGGGAGGCCUCUAACUUCAAGAACAAGGGAAAAGCUACCAUUUAAUCGAAUUCCACUACAUUGGACAUGUGCUACCAUUGUGGAUCAAUGGACCAUUGGUCACGUGUAUGUUGAGCUACCCAUGAGGCUAUUGCCAAGUAUCAUUCCUGUCACAAGUCAAACUUUGCACAUGUGGAACAUCCUGACGAUACUACCACAACUAUAGAGGUUUCAAAUUUUCAGGCGGCAUCCACUCCUAUGGAAGAAUGAAGUUUAUUUUUCUAGACAUGUUCAGGUGGUUUUUACCCUUAGUUAUCGAACCCACUAUGGAAUAACUUGUUUGGUUUGGUUUGUUUUGAAUUAUGGAUAAUUAUGUCAUGGAUAUUAUUCUCAAUUGAUUAAUUGAAUGAACAAAAUUAUAUAUAUAUGCAUGUGAUCGAUUCAAUUAAUUUAUUUCUAGGUAUGACUAGUGGGGAAGUUAGUUGUCUGGCUGAUAGUGCUACAACACACCAUCUUUUGUGAGCAACACUAUCUUACUAACUUCGUACCUAAAAAUGCACCUUUGACAACUCUCUCAAGUUCAUCUAACCUGAUGGAACAAUACAUAAAGGCUCAUAUAAUGUUGUCUAAUGGUAUUGAAUUAACCAUAAAAAUACCUUAUAUUCUCCUCGUUUCGGAAAAACGUUGCUAAGUUUUAGAGAUAUCCGAGAUAAUAAAUAUCAUAUUGAAACCACUGAAGAAAAUGAUUCUAAUCAUUUCUUACGAAUAUGGCUAGAAAUGUAUUCACAAGAAGUUGGAAUGUUUUUCGAGUGGGUUGUACAUCACAACCAUUAGAGCCAUAGAGACCUAUCACGUGGACGACCCUAAGCUCGGGUUCUAGACCCUUUGCUGUCUUGGCAUGACCGGAUGGGACAUUCUAAACGAGAUAUGAUGCGCCAUAUCUUCAAAUCUUCACACGGGUAUCAUAUAACCUCUUAUUGGAUACCCGACUUGCAAAGCAUGCCACUUGGGGAAGUUGAGCACUCAACCUUCAUCUAUAAAGAUUAAUUAGAACCCUCCAAAGUUUCUUUAAAGGAUUCAAGGGGAUAUUUCAGGACCUAUCCAACCAACAUCCGGACCAUUUAGAUACUUCAUGGUGUUGGUUGAUGCAUUGACACGUUGCUCAUAUGUCCACUUAAUGUCCACACGCAACGCUGCUUUUGCAAAACUCUUAGCUCAAAUCAUUAAGCUUAGGGCUCACCACCUUGAUUAUAUGAUUUAGUAAAUUUGACUAGAUUAUGCUAGAAAGUUUACGUCACGGUCCUCUGAUGAUUAUUGCAUGUCAAUUGGGAUUGAAGUUGAGCAUAUUGUACCCCAUGUUCAUACUGAAAACGGUACAAUAGAAGCUUUCAUAAAGCGCAAUCGAUAGCUCGGACUUUGGUUAUGGGAACCAAAUUGCCGUUAUCUGCCUAGGGCUAUGCAAUUCUACAUGCAUCUAUGUUGGUAUGCUUGAAGCCCACCACUACCCAGUCUCUUUCACCAUUAUAGUUGGUCACUGGAUACAAGCCUGAUGUUUCGCAUUUGUGUGUGUUUGGGUGCCCAGUCAAUAUGUCAAUAACGACACCACUACGUACCAAAAUGGGUCCUCAGAAAAGAAUGUGAAUUUAUGUCGAUUAUAAUUUGCCAUCAAUUAUUCUCAACUUAAAGCCCUUGACAUGAGAUCUCUUUACCGCACGUUUUGCGGAUUCACUUUGAUGAGACAGUCUUGCCGCUGUUAGGGGGAGAUAAGAAUACUAACGUUUCUAUAAAACGUCACAAAUUGUUGUGAUAUGCUCCCACUAUGUCUCAUUUAGAUCCCCGCACUGCCCAGUCUGAAACCGGAGUGCGUCAUAUUCUAGGUCUUUAGAGAAUUGCUUAAAGCAUGCCAAAUGCUUUUACUGAUCUAAAUAAGGUGACAAGAUCACAUAUACCAACUACAAACACACAUGCAAUGAUCGAUGUACUUUAGGUACGUUGUAACAUCGCCUCAGAAGAAUGACCCAUCCUUAAAUGAAGGUUAGCCGCACCUCCCACGUGGGUCAGUACACUGGUAGCUAGCCAAUUAUCUACUCCUACCUUGAAGCGUGGCAGGCCUCCUAGUUCAAAGGAUUUACAACCACAGAAGAGGAAAACGACACAAACUAGUGAUCCUAGUAUGAAUUCAACCAUCGCUUACUUAUAUGUUCCAACUAUGAGGUUAUUCUAGAUUACGAUGAUGUCUUAGAUGAGACAAACCGGCCUCCCAAGAAUCGUGAGAUUCGGUCCAUUACGCAAUAUUGGAUGAGAUUUGAAAUCAGAAUGAGAUGAUCGUCAACGAUGCCUUUGCGUACACAGUAGCUAUUGACAUCAUGCUUAACAAUGACAUUGAACUACGUUCCGUUAAUGAGUGUCGACGUAUAACUGACUGGUCAAACUGGAAACAAGCAACCCAAGUCAAACUUAAUUUGCUUACAAAACGUUGUUUAGGCAUGCAGCUCCUAUUCCACCACAAGUUAAGCUUAUGGACUAUAAGUGGAUUUUCGUAAGAAAAUGUAAUGAGAAGAAUGAAUAGUGUGAUACAAAGCACGCCUCGUAGCGUAAGGCUUUUCUCAAUGCCUUAGAAUUAAAUACGAGGAGACAUACUUUCCCGUAAUGGACGUCAUAACAUUUCGUUACCUUAUCAGUUUGGUAGUUUCUGAAAAACUAAAUAUACAGCUUAUGGAUGUGGUAAUCGCGUAUCUCUAUGGGAUCUAAAUAUAGAAAUCUACAUGAAAGUUUCUGAAGAGCUUACAUUGACUAGAUCAAAUAGUUCUAAACCAUGGAACACCCUAUCGAUUCAAUUGAGGAGUUCACUGUACGGAUUGAAACAAUCUGGGCAUAUGUGGUAUAACCGUCUAAGUGAACCUUUGACAAGUCAGGGUUAUGUGAACAAUGAACUAUGCUCAUGCGUGUUUUUUAAGAAGUUACAUUCCGGAUUUGUGAUCGUUGUAGUUUAUGUCGAUGACAUGAAUCUCAUUGGGAUUCUUGAAGAGCUUGAGGAAACUGCCGCUCACUUGAAAUCGAAAUUUGAGAAGAAAGAUCUUGAGAAAACUUGAUAUUGCCUUGGCCUGAAGAUCAAGCACUGUUAGGAUGGAAUCCUAGUACAUCAAUCGAACUACACCCAGAAGGUGCUGCGACGUUUUAAUGAGGAUAAAGUGAAGCCUUUGAGUACUCAUGUGGUCAUUUGGACUCUAGAUAUUAAACGAGAACCCUUCAAUCCUAAAGAGGAUAAGGAAAAGAUUUUUGAGCCUGAAAUUCCACACCUAAGAGCAAUUGGUGCUUUAUUGUACUUAGCUUAAUGCACUAGACCCAACAUCUCAUUUGUUGUAAAAUCUUUUGGCAAGAUAUAGCAAUGCGCCUAACGCAGGCACUAGAAUGGUGUCAAAUACAUUUUCCUCUACCUUAAGGGUACAACAGAUUUGGGUUUGCUCUACACCUAUGAAUCCUCGAGGGGAGCCGCUGCCCCUUUCGGUCUUUGGGUUGAUUCUCGCCUUGUUGGUUAUGUUGAUGAAUGUUAUCUAUCUAACCCACAUAGGGCACAUUCUCAAAUGGGUUAUGUCUUUACCAUUGGAGAUACCGUAAUUUCUUAGAGGUCUACCAAGCAAUCGUUAGUUGCGACUUUUUUUAACCAUGUUGAGAUUCUCAUCUUGCAUGAAGCCUCGCGUGAAUGCUUUUGGUUGAGAGCAAUUAUGGAACAUAUUCGAACCACUAGCAGUCUUUCUACCAAUGUUGAUGUUUCUAUAACGAUCUUUGAAGACAAUGAUGCAUGUAUCGAUCAACUGAAGAAGGGAUACAUCAAGGGAGACAACACCAAGCACAUUGCAUUGAAGUUCUUCUAUUCUCACCAACAAUAACAACAUCAUAACAUCAAAGACAAGCAAAUCCGUUCCCAAGAUAACCUAGCCGAUCUCUUCACAAAGUCAUUGCCCAAGUCUACUUUUAGAAGCUUGUCCAAGGAAUUGGUAUGCGUAAACUUUCUGAUUUGAAUAGCUCGUAGUUCUCUUAUUUGGAAGUUAUGUCAAACUCAGGGGGCCAGAAGCAUACUCACUUAAUAUUAAUGUACUCUUUUUCCCUAUGAUUAUGAGCAUUUUUUCCACUUAGUUUUUGCUACCUAACGAGGUUUUGAUGAGGCGCCCAUCCUAGGAUGAUCAUACUUCUUUGAUGUUUACUACUUUUGUCUCGGAUGACGUUUGUUUUUUACAUUAUGCAUACUUGUCACUUUUCUCCUUAGUCUUUGGGUUUUGCACUUACCUUAGGUUUUACCAUAGCAAAGUUUUGUGAGUUUACUACCAAUGCAUACUUUCUUUAAUUUGAGAUUCGCAUUUGCUCGUUUUGUCGACGACUUCAUCAACUGAUCUACUUCAUCCGCUGAAGACCUGAUACGAUAUUUUGUUUGAGUAUUUACAAAUUCAAGGGGAAGUGUUGUAGUCAUAUUUAUUAUAUGAAUGUGAUUGUGUAAAUCCUAUUAUAUAUGGGAUAUCUUUAGUAAAUUCUAUCAUAUCUUUUAGACUAGAUAUUAUCCUAUUGGGGUAAGGAAUGUACCUUAUCUACUACUAUAAAUAAAGGCAAAAUGGGGUGGAAUACCACACACCUCACAAUUACACAUCUCUCUUUUCUCUCUCUAUGCCGUCGGCCACCCCUCUCUAUCCCUUAUAAUUUUUCAGUAAAAUAGGCCUACAACAAAACUAAAUUUGUGGUGCCACUUAGUAUUACGAUUUAGUGAUACUUUUCUUCACUUGUAAGUGAGAGAUUUUUUUAUUUUUAACAAACGAUAUUAUUUACACUAAGGAUGUGGGGCAGUGCGCUACGCCUCACUAUGGGCUAGCAAUAAUGUAGUUCAAAUUUGCCUUUAGCGAGAAUCAAACCUAAGACUUCUCACUUACUGGUGAAGACCACUAGAUCGUUGUACUGAGUGGCUGUAAGUGAAAGAUCAUAGAUUCGAAUCUUUUAGAUAGCAAAUUCAAAAAAAUUUAUUCUAGGCUUUUGAACAUUAGCCCUUCAAAUAAUUGAAAUUUAAAAAAAAAAUAUGGUGUUAGAUUGCAUAUUGUCUUUGAAGUGUACUUUUAUUAAAAUUCAUAUUCUAUUUUUUUUUAAUUUAAUGUCUUCGCAUUAAAAUUUUGAUUUUAUUAAUAUGCACAUUUUAGUUCUUCCAAUUAUAAAUAAACCUAAAUGAAAAACAUUUAAAAAAAAUUAGUGACACAAAAGAAAAAUAUGUAAAUACAUAAGUGUAAAAAAAUGACUGUACCAAAAUAUACUAAAUUAACUUCUUAGUACCAAAAUAUAUUAAAAUGAAGUUUUCUAUUUACUUAUUCUAUCACCCCUUUGGGUGGCCUCGCUAAGGUAGGGUUGGACUUUUAUGUCUAUUUGUGUUGAUUAGUGAAUGAUCAAGUAGUCCUGCGAUGUUACAACACGUCCUUUAAAAUAAUGUAUUUUUUUCCGAGACAUAUGGAAGGACAAUUUUACACCUGAGCAUGUGUCUUGAGUAAUCUUCGAGCCUCGACUCGAAAUCCAAUUCUUAUACUUUCUAAUGUUUUCCUAACUAUAUUCACGUGUGUGAACGUGAAAUCGAAAAUGAAACGUGAAGUGAAGCCUCGAUGGCUAAUUUGUAUACUUAAAACCUUGAGAGGGGAAAAUUGGUAAUUUCACUAAAUUUUAAGUGGGAUUAACCCACUCCGUGUCUCACUUUCCCCUCAUUUAUGCAAUUCUCCCUCUCUCCUCACUCUCGAACUUAGAUAGAAUAAAAUACAAUAAUACAUAUUUAAUCUCCAAUAUAUACACUAUGGCUAUUGUAGUUUAUAGUAAGUUUUUUUAAUAGUUUAAAUUUAAAAUUAUCGAAAUAAUGUUUUUCUUAACAGGUCGUAACGUGUUACCCACAAGUUACCCGUGUGUAAACCAGUUAAGGACCUGUUAUAAACGGGCGACCCAAUAAUGACUCGAUUGUUUAUCGUGUUGACCCGAAAUCUGUUAUUUUCAUGUCAUUUCGUAUUGUGUUAGCAUGUCGUAUAAGAAAUUGUCAGGUUUGAAUUGUUGUAUUAUUUAACUAAGAUGACAUGACACAAACUCAAAAAAUUGUCCAAACUAAAGUUAAAAUCACUGUUUUGAAACUAAAAAUAAGCAUUGUUUGUAAAACUGAUUGUAAUAUUAUUACUUACUAUGUUCUAAAUGGUGAAUGUUUAUAUUUUUUUUUAACUCAGAUAGCAUGACAAAAGCUCAAAAAAAUUGUCCAAACUAAAGUUAAAAUCACUAUUCUGAAAUUAAAAUAAGCACUUUUUAUAAAAUUGAAAUAAAAGUUUUUCUUCAUUUUUUAAGAUUGUAAUAUUAUUACUUAAUUUGUUCUAGAUGAUGGAUUAUUGUAUUACUUAACUCAGAUGACAUGAUUCAAACUCUAGAAACUUGUCCAAACUAAAGUUAAAAUCACUAUUUUCGUAUUUAAAUAAGCACUGUUUACAAAACUGAAAAAUAAAAGUUUUUCUUUAUUUUUUUGGAGUGUAAUGUUAGUACCUUGUUCUAAAUGAUGGAUGAUCGCAUUAUUUAACCCAUGGGACAUGACACACUCAAUAAGUUUGUCCAAACUAAAGUUAAACUCAUUAUUUAUAAAACUGAAAAGUGAAAAAAUUUCUUCAUUUAUUGGAUUGUAAUAUUAUUACUUAGUUUGUUCUAAAUUUUUUAUGAAACACUGAUCAAAUAAACAAAUGAUAUAGUAAAAAUACAAAAUAUAUUGUUUAAGAAGUGAGAGUAGAGCGACGUGAGAGAGAGAGUGAUGAGGGGUGAAAGGAGAGAGGAGGGAGAAAAUUGAUGGAGAUGGGUGAAAGAGGAGAGAGUGACUGAGGGAGAGGGAGAGAGAGUGGUGGGGACGGACGGGACCUAUGCGUCAACCUUUUUUAAGUUUCUUUCCUUAUUAUAUUAAACUUUUUUUUCAUUAAAAUUCAAACCUUUUUCAUUAAACAAAGUUAUUAGGUUUUCUUUUGUUAAAAAAAAAAAACCCUUUUCAUUAAAUAAUUUUGUCCAACAAACACUCAAAUUUGCCGUUAAUAAACAAGAAAAAGAAAAUAAAGAUUAGUGCUUUUAUCACUACACUCAAUAACCCUAAACAAAAAUAUUAUUCUUACUGUUUGUAUGUAUUAUCAUUUAUAUCAUCUCUCUAAUAGAGCGGCCUACCAACCCACCACACCACUGCACCUCACUAUUAUUUCCAGCGAAUCCAAACCAAACUUUCGGCACAAUUUACCCCCAAGGUCAUCGACGAAUGUUAACUCCUUCCAUUCUUUUACUUCUCUUUCUUCGUCUCCCUCUUAUCAUAACCUUGAAUUCGUCGAAGGUUCAAUUGUCUUCACCCAAAAACAGAAGGGGUGUCGUGGAUUGCUGGGAAGCAUGAAAGCCUCCCUCUAUGUUUCCCCGAUAGGGUUGGUUGGAGCAUAUACAAGUUCUAGUUGUUUUAAAAUUCUUUUUAUUUAUUUUCAGGACAAAUUUGAAAUUUAUUAAAUAAGUUUUUAAGGUAGGUGUAGAGAUAAGAUAAAUUGGUUCAAAUAAAAUUUCCCAAAAAAAAUGAAGAGAGUUUAUUCUCUUUCCUCUCACCCUAGAUCUCCACUCAAUUGCAUUUUGCAUUCACUUUCUCCAAUUGGGCAAUUCCCAAUUUCCAAUUCCCUUUUUCCUGUAAGCACCCACAACUGAUCCCUAGGCCAUCAUCAGUGAAAAUCAUCAUCGAUUAGUUUUGGCUAUCCCAUUCCAAAUCUGUCAACUCCAAUUUUGAAAUCGGAAAUUGGUGACAUUGGCGAUUGGUGGCAUUGACUAGUAUAUACAAUGAGGGCUACCUAUAUGUUCUUUUCGAUAUUAAAAUUUAUUAACUAGCACAUAAAUGAUUUGUUUAGAACAUGUGCAGUUUAAACUAAUUUUAAUUCCAAUUCAUGCAUAUUUGGUAAAUAGCUUGUAUGAAAUCAAUAUCAUUCAUAUUCCGAUUCUAGAUAGUUAGUAAAUAACUCCUAUUAAAAGCUGAUUCUAAUUUCUCCUUAAUUCAGUUCUCCCUAUUCUGAUUACAUGGUUAACUUGCCCAUGAUGUUUAUCGGGUUGAUGCUUAAGUAUGUACAUAGAGCAUAGAAAUGCAAAGAUUUUGGAUUAAAUAGGGAAUCGAACAUUAAGAAAACAGUUUAGAAGAAAUAAAAGGGUUGUCAUGAUUUAACGGUAAUUUUAUUCUAAUUUUUGUUAAGAAAUAUUAUAUUUCAAUCAUUGAGGAAAUGAUGUUACAGAUACAUACACGUAAAGAAUUAUGUGUGAAAAUGAUCCUUGCAAACUUAAUCUAAACAAUUACGAUAUUUCAUUCCAACCAUAAAAAAAAAAGUACAAUAUUUUAUUUAUGGACUCGUGGUAAUAUUAAUUAUAUCUAAUCUAACCCAAGUAUUAUCAUUUAUCUAUAAUCUCUGAUCUCUAUUCUCUAAAAGUCAGAAGUCCAUUUGGUGUCGCAAGCUUCACAAAAAACAUUUGGACAUAAAAGCCCCUCAAAAAAAAAAAAACUGACAUGAAAAACUGAUUCAUCAUCCUCAAGGGUAUUUCUGUCAACAACAAAUCAGAAUACAGCUUAAUAAAUAAGAGAAUUACCAAAAAAAAAAGAGAUAACUCCCAGCAGCAAACAACAUACUCACUUCUAUCUUGGGAAAUUUUGAAAAAUAGCCAAUUUUAGAACCAUAAAUUGAAUUUAGCCAAACUUUUUAAUUGGGUAAAUUACACUUUCAUACCUCAGGUUUGGAUCCAUUUCAACCUCAUACAACAACUUUAAAACAUUUCACUUUCAUACCUCAAGUACUAUUUUAUUUUAAUAUAAUACAUCCGUUAGAUUUUUCAUCAAUUAAUCCGUUAAAUGCUGACGUGGCUGUCACAUUUGUGCCACGUGGCUGCCAAAUGUCUGGCACGUGGCAAAUAAAAUAUUUUUUAUUUUUUUUUUUAAAAACCUGAAUUUUCUUAAAAAAAAAAAAAUCCCAGAUCUACAAGAAGAAGAAGAAUAGGAAGGAAGAAAGAAAAAGAAAAAAAUUGUCCUCCCCCCAAUUAGUUAGUGAGUGAGUGAGUGGAGGAAGAAAGAAAAAGAAAAAAAUUGUCCCCCCCUUAGUGAGUGAGUGAGUGAGUGAGUGAGGUAAAGUAGAAGUGCUUUGCUUUGUGAGUAUGGUUUGCUAAAACGGGUUGAAGCUGAUGAUAUAUAAAUUGACUUGCACUUGCUUACGGCUAGAUGGACAAUUGGAUAUCUUUAUGAUUCCAUUCGUUCUUCACGCAAUGCCAUCGCCGCCCUGAUUUCAUUCGUUCUUCGCACCAGUAAACGAAGACGAGUUUUAGAGGACGCUUGCCUAAUCUGCACCGCCACCGCACCGUGGCUGCCCUACCAUACCCGCAACGCAACCACGACCCGCAUCCAUGCUACUGCUCACAGAGCCUGCGAGAAUCUGCCGCACCAAAGCCAUGAAACGCGCCCACGGAGCCCAGGAUUCGUACCCGCGAAGGCCCAAAAGAAAAUAGAGAAAAUUGAAAAGGAAGUGGGGAAAAAAUGGUUCUAUAAAAGGUGAAAAAGGGCUCUGCCGGCCUAGGACCAACACUGGCUGCGCGACUAAGGGAGAGGGGAAUAGAAGACAGGGAGGGAGGGAGGAUUAGUAUUACAAUGGGUAAGACUUUUUAUGUGUAUUCUUUUUGUUAGAAUUAUAAGAAGUUAAUAGGGAACUUUAAUGAAAAGGGUUUGAGCUAACAAAUAUUUAAUAAAAAAUCAUCUUAAAAUGUUAUUUAAUCAAAAAGGCUCAAAGUUUAAUAAAAAAAACUAUCCAAAACUAUUGUUCACGACCCAAACCUGCAAGCUCAACCUGCUACAAAAAUAAAUUUCCGUAAAUACCCCUAUAUGAUUCAAAACCGUCUUGUCUCUUCACCAACCGUCAUUAUCACAGAGUUAAACCAGCACGAAACCACCAUAAAGAAACUUUUGGUCUUCCCGUCAAAUCCAAUUCCCCCAAUUUCAAUAAACCAACAAAUCAAAAUUCAAAACAAACUUGAAAAAAGAGAUAAACUGUGAAAAAAAAAACAUUCGCAGAAGAAAGAGAUAAACAAAGCCGCCGAAAAAGAGUUGCAAAACAUACUAGAACCUUUGUGUGAACAAACCGGAGAAAAAGAAGUGCAAAACUUACAAGAACCUCCGUCAGAACCAACAGGCGAAAAACAUGUGCAAAACGUACCAGAACCUCCGUGUGAACAAACCGGAGAAAAAAAUUGCAAAACGUACAAGAACCUCCAUCAGAACAAACCGGCGAAGAAGAGGUAAUAAUCUUAUACCUGUUAGAUUAUAAAUUCUCAUGUACUUGUUAAAGUUAAACAUUUACUUUUCCAGAAAUAUAGUACGACUGUUUUGCCACUUUUCUAGAAACCAAUGGAAUCUAUUAUGAUUUGAAUAAAAUACCUUGAAUACAGUACGAACGAUGACGACAAUCUGAAAAACUACGAUCGCAUUCAAUUUGAUUAGCACUUCAAAAGUUAAAACGACGAUCACGUUCAAAUUGAUAAGAAUUCGAAAAUCUGGUUCUCAGAGCCUUCAACCAGCUCUGGCAAAAAGAGUUGAACAUUGAAGAAAACGGAACUGAACAAAUUUAAAACAAUUUAACCUCGAAAAAUCAUCAUUUACUAUAGUUGGGCCAUUUUUAGUUGGACUGAUUUAAUAUGAGCCUUGUACUAACCAUUAAACAAACUUAUAGAAUGGUUUUUGGUUAAAACUAAAAAUUUUCAAGCCAUUUUCAUUAGUUUUUCUAAGUUAAAUAAGUUUGGCUAAAAUUCAAUACAUGCUUUAAAAUUACAAAAUUUCCCGUCUAUCUUCUAUUCCCCAUUUUCUGAACAAACUUCUUCCUCACAUAAACCUCUCUACACAAUUAAUCAUUCUUGCCAUGGAGGGAGAUCAAACAUGAUAUGCCACGCAGCGUAGACGUGUAAACCGCGGUGGGAAAAAACGCGAACGUGUAAGGAAACAUUUUCGUGAAAGGAGAGAAAUAAAAUCCAAAUAGUUUUGAUUGCUUGAUCGGCAAUCGAAAUUGUCAAGCUUCAAGAAUUUGCAAAACUGUUUCCUCUCUGGUACAUCAAGUCGACUACAAACACAAUAGCUUUUAGUCCUAGUGAAUUUUCAUCGUUGGUUAUCCAAAUGUUUUCCUGAUUUAAUGAAUUCUUUCUUCAAACAUUGAGUUAAUAUCAUUGCUCCAUUGUGCUUUACCAAUGUAAAGAUCUUAGGAAGUUAGUUGAUCUCUACAAGUCCCAACUAAACACCGGCAAUUGAACCAUUGAGAAUCGACGUCGCCAAUUCCCAAUUCUGCUACUCUUUUAAUUUCAGAAGCUGAGGAGAGAGAGAAAGAUGGCGACGAGUCCGGCGCUGAAGGUAGGGAUGGUGAUAGGUGGGUUGUGCAUAGCCAGGUACAUAGUGGGCCCACGCCUAUACUGGCCCUUCAUGGAGGGCUUAGCCGCUGUCUCCAACUCUUCUUCUUCCUCCUCUUCCGCUUGCCAUCCCUAGCACCUGCGAUUGCUCUUCUCAGCCUCUCAUCUCUUGAUAAUUAAAUAGGUAAAUGAUUUCGAAUUGAAUUGAAUUUUUGCAAGAAUGAUCUAUGAAUCGAGACUUACAAAAUAAACGGUUCGAAUUAUUGAAGUUUGAUGUAGAAUAGGACCCACAACUAAUCUCAUUUUUUAAAGAAAAAUAGGGAUCCCUUUACCUAAAGGGCAUAUAUAUGUGUGUGUGUGUAUAAUAUAUAGUUGAGCAAUGGUCAUAAAGUAUUAAAGUUCCUUCUUUUUGAAAGAUUUGCCAUUUUGUGUAUGUUUAUGAAAGAGAAAAUUAGAAUUAGAUGCCUUAUUUUAGACUUUUGUAGACUAAACAUUUAUGCUUUUUGAGUUUAUGAUUAAGCUUUUGAAACAUUUGAUUAAGAUACUCAGACUUGAACUACUUCAGAAUAAAAAUUAAUUUACAUUUAAAUAUUUGCUAUAUAUUUUAAAUAAUUUCAACUAUAUUUAAGUCUAAAAAUUUAAACUUUUCAAAUCUAAAUGUACACCCACGCCAAAUGGAAACGUACCAACAUUAAAUGAAAACGUACCAACCCCGAAUUAAAAGUACCCCUAUAUUAAAAUAAAGAAUUUAAAAAUAUUUGAUUCACACAUAUGUCUCUAUUUUUUGAUGUUUCUUGUUUUUUUGUUUAGAUAAAUUUAUUAUAAUGUCUUCUGACAAUCAUUUUUCUUAAAUGUAUCGAUCUUUGAUUAUAUUUAAUCCUCUAUUAUUUAAUUAUUUUUCUUUAAUUAAUAUACAUGUAACUUAAAUUCAUAUAAUUUUGAAUUAUACUAAAUUAUUUUGGUUAUAUAUCUUGUUUUUUUUGAUUAUAUGAAUUUCUUUUCUUAUAUUUAUUUUAAUUUUGAAUUAUAAUUUAAUUUAAAUUUUUAAUUUAAAUCCUUUUUACAUUUGUUAUUUACUUUUUUUAUUUUUUUUGAACUCUAUAUCUUAUUAAAAUGUUAUUAUUAAAGCAAUUCUCCAUUAUAUUAUUUUAACAAAAAUGUUUAAUAAUAUUAUUUAUGUUAAACAAUUAAGUACCUCAUUUUUAUAAAAUUUAAAUUAUUUAUUUACCAAAUAUUUUUUCAAAUGAUUUUUUCUAAAAUUUUCAAAUGUACUUCUUUAGUUUCUGAUCAAUCAAUUCAAAUUUUUUUUAUCUUUAUAUUCUUAAUCAAAUUUAAUUUUAUUUAAUUUUUAUUAUUGUAAUUAUAAACUUUAAAUGUAAUAACAUGUAUCAAUCAUAUAUAUUUUUUUUAUUAUUAAAUAAAAUUUAUUAAUAAUUUUUUUUUUCAUUUAAAAUGAAUUAUUUAUUUAUGAAAUAAAAUAUUUUAGUAAUUAUAAUUAUGUAAUUUGUCAUUAUUGUAAUAAUUAGUAACCUUUUAUAAUUAUCUAACUUCCAUCCCUUAUUGUUCUUAUUAAUUAACUCUUAUUUUUAAUUUUUAGCAAUUUUUCCAAAAUCUUUUUCUUACUCUCCAACCCUUAUUACCUAAAUUUUUAGCCUCAAAUUAUUUAUAUAGAAUGAAAUGUUUUAGGCUUAAUUUUUUCUUCUUAGUUACUUUUUAAAUAAUGUAUAAAAAUUUAUUGUAUUUACAUUCAUAUGAUUUUAUUAAUUUUUAAUGAAUUGAUUAUAUUUUAUUAAAUAUAUUUAGUUAUUUCUUGAAAUUUUAUUUAAUUUUUGAUUUUAAUAAAUUAUUUUUAAAAUUUCAUAUGACUUAAUAUUUAUUAAUCACAAACUUUUUGAAUCCAUUCUCAUAAAACCUCCUUUAUUAUUCACUUAUGAAAAAAUAUGAAACACAAUAAUAAAAGAUUUUUUUUAAUUACUUAGCAGUUUAGAUUUAAAUUUGAACUGUUUUUUUUUUUACGGUUGAAUUUUUAUUUCAUCAAUUAGAUUUUUUAACCGUUAGAUUCAAUAAUUUUAUAAAUAUAAACUAUAAUUAUAAUUAUACAUUAUAUUUAUGGUGUUUUAUCUCUACUAAUCUCUGGCUAAAAUCUUUCUUUUUUAUUUUUUAGCUUUACACACAUUAGCAUGGUUUUGGUUUUUUUUUUUUUUUUUUGGAGGGGGGGGAAUAAAACCUAAAAAAUAGCAUUUAGCCCAGGUUGGAGAUAAUGAAAUAAUUAAUUUAAUAGUUACCAAAAUUGUAGGGAAAUAUGUUUAAUCAAAUUUGCAAAAGGAAUAAAUAUUUAGUCUAUGACAUUUAAAAACGAGGCGUCUAAUUCGAAACGUCUCUACCUUAGGGUUGAAAAAACUUAGUCGUUGGCAAUACAUGCUUUGUGGGAGAGAAAUAGGGGCAUUGCACAGGCCCCCAAUUUGAAUCUCAGUUUUUUUGCACACCAUUAAUAUAUAAGGUUUUUUAAUCAAUCAUUAUUAAUAUUUUUUUUAUAUUUUUUUAGGAAUCUUUAAGGGAAUGGAAUUCUCCAUUUUAUAAAUAAGGAUUUUAUGUGGGCUCACACAUUAUAUUAAACAUUAACGACUCGAACAAUGUAUUUUUUAGGUUGCACCUUAUAGGUCAUUCUUGCAAAAUAUUAGUCAAAUUGAAAAUAUUUGAGACAUUUAAUUGAGUUCAAAGAAAUUGACAAACAUUUUGUUCUCUAAGAAAUAUUUAAAUUUCAUCAUGAUAAUUAAAUAGGCAUAUGGUUUUGGAUUAAAUUGAGUUUUUGCAAGAAUAAUCUAUGAAUCGAGACUUAUAGACGGUACGGAUCAUUGAAGUUCGACUUAAAUAAAGGGCCUAUAAAUAUAUUAUAAAAUAAUAUAAUAUUUUUCAUAAUAAAUAAAUAGAAAAUAGCCUCAUAAGAAAAAGAAUAUUAAAUCAUUUCUCUCUUAAGUAAUAAAGUUGGACUGAUAACAACCCGAUUCAUGUAAAGUAUUUAGCAUAUAUUAUCAUACGAUUGUUGAUUGAAUUUGCAUAGUAAAUUUACAUACUUCAUGUUUUUAUUGUUAAUUUUACUUUAGUGUUUCUUAAUUGAUCAUGAGUUUUAGUUUUAAAAUUAGGAGCUUUAAUGAAAAAUGUCUGGACCAACUUUAAUUUAACAAAAAACCACCUCAAACUUUUAUUUAAUGAAAAUGGCUUGAGAUUUAAUAAAAAUGACAAAAGUAACAUACAACAGGCCAAAAAAAUUAAAUCUCAUGGGCUGAAGCAAAGCCCAACAUGCAACAUCAAAUCUUUCUUCCAACUUUGCCCUUGUCAGAGAUUAACCCUUAACACAACUUCACAUUAUUUAUGACAUUGCCAUCGAGCCAAAAGGUCAAAUAAAACCAAAACUAUUUUAAUUUUCAAUUUUUUUUCUUCAACAAAUGUUUGCAACCAUUGCCCCGAAUUAAAACUCAUAUCAUGACAAUUAAUUCAAGAACCACAAUCAUUAACUUUUACUCUCCUCUCAAACCCAUAAUUGUCAAACAUUGUCCAUAACCUACAUCAAACUCAUGAUUCCUUUGAAAAAAGUGCAAUUCACAAACCAACCUUCUCAAACCCAAAUUUUUUCAACGUCCAUUUCCGUUUUCAUAGCCUACCUUCUCAAAUCUAGAUUUAUUAACUUGAAACCAAACAAAAAUUACUUACAAACAACCCAAAACUCCUCAAAAUUAAAACUAAGCAAACAAUUUCGAAAAAAUAUAAAAGGUCGUACCCAGUGCACAAGGCUCCCGCUUUACGCAGGGUCUGGGAGAGGUGAAUGUCGGCUAGCCUUACCCCCAUUUUAUGGAGAGGCUGCUCCCAAGUGAAAAAUCAACAAAGAUUAUGAAAAGAAAAUGUCACCUUUGAUUCUCCUUCAAACCUAUGAUUCUCCUCCAAACCUGCAUGUCACCUUUGUUUUCUAUCUUUUAUUUGGGUUUGAGCAUCUGUGCCCUCACCCUUUUGUAUUUUCCCGUCUCAAACUCUAUCAAUGUUAUUAUUAUUCUUGAUCAAAAAAGAAAAAUGUCCAGGGAAUAAGACCGAGACUAAUUCAUAAACUCCCAGAAUAUAUUAUUCCAGGGGGACAUGUCAAUGAGAUGUAUGACUUGACUUGUGAAGUCAAUGCAUGCUCAACCUAUCACAAUAAUGCCAAUUAUCUGCCAACAAGAUAAUAUUACCAAGGAAAUAAGUUAUAGUGGUUUUGGAGAGUAAAGAAAUAAUUUAAAACUUAUUAGUGCUUUUCAAAAUCCUUAUCCAAACACAAGGUAGUGAAAACCUUGGCUCAUAAGACUGGAAUUCUCCUAGUUUUAAAACUCGUUAGUUUUGUUCAGUUUAAAAAAUAGGUGUAAUUUUGCUGUAGUUUCAGAAAUAGUGUGAGUCAUUUUGAUUCAAUUUCAGAAAUAGUAUAGGUUAUUUUGUUGUAGUUUUAGAAAUAAUGUAGGUUAUUUUUAUGUAAUUCUAGGAAUAAUGUUUAUUUUAUUCCCUUCCGGAAAUAGUAUAGAUUAUUUUGGUUCAGUUUUCAUAAAUAGUGUGGGUUAUUUCGUUGUAGUUCCAGUAAUAGUGGGUUAUUUUGCUGUAGUUCUAGAAAUAGUGUGAGUUAUUUUGGUUCAGUUUCAAAAAUAGUGAGGGUUAUUUUGCUGUAGUCCCAUAAAUAGUGUGAGUUAUUUUGCUGUAGUUCUAUAAAUAGUAUGAGUUAUUUUGGUUUAGUUUCAGAAACAGUGUGGGUUAUUCUGCUGUAGUUUCAAAAAUAGUGUGAGUUAUUUUGGUUCAGUUUCAGAAAUAGUGUUGGUUAUUUUGCUAUAGUUUCAGAAAUAGUGUUGGUUACAGAGCAAUACCCAAAUUGAACAAAAAUAUAUCCAUUUACAUAUUAAUUCUCCCAAGAGUAGUCGUAUUAAAGGUAUGUUUAGAAGUGACUCCGGAUUUCCAAAAUCACUUGUGGCAUAAGCAUUCGCCUCUCUUAUGUGUUUUCCUAGAAAUUCACUUCCAAAAUAUUUAAAUCGGGAAUUAGUGUUACAAAUUUAGGGGUUAGACGAAUAUGCAUAUAGCGGAAAAUGUUGGUGGAGGUUUGGGAAUUAUAUGAAGGAAUGGAAUUGGUCAUGAAUAAAAAGUAAAUAAAAAUCUCUAAUUAAAUAAGAAAACAAAUAGUCUCCAUUGGAGCUUUGGAUUGGAUCAGGAUCCUCUCCUGAGCCUAUCGUGAGGAUCCUCCUGAGCAAGUCAUCGGAUCGUUAAAAUUUUAUCCAACGGUUAUAAAUAAGGAACUCCACUAAAAAUUAUAAUAAUUGUAACCGUUGGAUAAAAUUUCAAUGGCCCGAUGGGUUUGUUUAGACCAUCUCCAACCCUUUGGCUAAAAGCCAAAUUUUUUAGCCCGGAAAAUUUGGCUUUUAGCCCAGAAACAUCUUUUCUGCUCCAACCCUUCUGCCCUAAAAUUUUAGCCCGGAAUUAUUAAAGAAUGAACUUAGGCUAAUUUUUUUCUUAAGUCAAUUUUUAAAAAUAAAUAAAUAAAUAUGUAGAUUAUUGUAAAUUAAUUUAUGAACAUUUUAAUCUAAAAAAAUUUAAAUUCCGAUAAACAUUUGGCAUUUAGCCAGCGGGGAAAGCUGGGGGGUAUUUGGCCCAGAAAUAACAUUUGGCAUUUAACCUAAAAUUUUAACAUGAGUUGGAGAGUGUUUGGGGGGGGGUAAUUUGGCUUUUAGUUCAGGUUUGGAGAUGGUCUUAGGAGGAUCCUCCCGGUAGGCUCAGGAGAGGAUCCUAAUCCCUCUGGAUUGACCCAACAAUGGACACAUAAAUCGGACUUUGUCACUCUGCAUGACUUCUGUCCCACUUCCUUAUCCCAUUAAUCCCUCCAUAUUUAUAGAACCAACCUGCAUUCCAUGGAGUUGCAAUUCAAGGUUUUCGUGAUUUUUCUGCUGUUUGCUUUUAUAUUUUAUUUUUUGUAAUUCUUUUUUCUGAAUACUUUUGCGGCCAAGCAACAAUGUUCCCAAUAGCAAACCCUGACCUUAAUAUCCCACUCAAUUCGAACAGCAAGACACCAAAGAUUGAAAGAUUGAAUUGAAGUAAGUGGACCCAGGUUUUUCGUCAGUUGAGAUUUUGGGCCAGAGCGGGUCUGACAAAGCAGUGACAGCGAUACUCGAAUGUUCGUCGACAAGGCAACAAUCUCUCCUCUCCUCUCCUCUUCUUCUUCGCGAGAAGAUUGUCAUUUUCAUGUCACCAUUACAAUUAGAAGGCCUAUUUAUAAUUUUUGGGUAGGGCCGCUAAAUUCAGGAGGACCUAAUUAUAGAUUUGCUUAUUGACAUGAUUUAGAGACGGCCCUAAUCGUCGGCAUCCGCGUCUCUUUAUUUACCAUAUCGGUUUGGUAACUUUGAUGUGUGCUUGACUGAUCGUGGACAAAUUUUCCAUAGGAUCAUGUGACAAUGACUGCAAUCUAACCUCGUACUUUUCUCUUUCUUCUUACCUUCUGAAUAUUGACAGAGAUCAAUUUUUUUGCACUUAUUUUGUGUGUCACUUCUUUGUAGUCUAUUUUAGAUUGACACGUAUUAAGUUUAUGAGAACAAAUUUAAGGAGGAUUAAGUUUACUAACUCGUGUCAAUACGAUAGAGGCCACAUAGAUGUUUCACGCAAAACGAGUGCAGAAGAUUUGAACUCAUACUAAUAUACAUGUUAAUUUGCCUUUUGGGUUUCCAAAAGAGCAACUCAACCAAAAAAACAUACAUAAUUUGUAUGAUUUUUGCAUAUACCACUUUAACGCAGUGGUGGAAAGCAAUCACGCUAAUGCCCUGUGCGGAUUUGAUCCACAUCGAUUAUCCUUCCCCCUAACAAUUUACUAUUUAAACCCACUAACGCUAUUGCUUACUUAAAAAAAAAAAAUAUAUAUAUAUAUAUAUAUAUAUAUUAUUUUUAAUUUUAUUUUAUUCCCACAUUUACUAGCACCAAUUAUCAAUCUACAGUAGAAUAAUUGUUCGAGCUUUGGCCAAGACAAGGUUGUUAUUUGGCAAUAUCGACAAGUUAUUAUGGUUUAAACAUAAAAAUUAGAAAUGUAAAAUAAAAUAAAAUAAAAAAGCAAUAGUUUAUUAUUCUUUAUUGGUGUUACUGUUGAGAAUGAAUCUCACACGUAAAAAUUGAUAGACAUUGCAUGUGCUUAUAAGUAAUUAGGCAACUUUUCAUAUUGCUAAUUGGUUUUAUGGUGGAACCUCAACUUUGUUCAUGGUAUCAGAGUAUGGUUGUUCCACGUGUGAAGCCCAACAACUACAUGUUCCUCAUAUUAAGCGAUUGAUGUUGUCCACGUGUUAGAUUAAGGCGUGUUGAGAGUGAAUCCCACAUAAAAAAGAUGAUGGAUCUUGCAUGUACUUAUAAGUAAUUGGGCUACUUCCCACAUUGUUAAUUGGUUUUAUGGUUGAACCUCAAGUCUUUUUUUUUUUUUUUUUUUUUAACUACACACGCACAUACAUAUAUAUAUAUAUAUUUAUUAAGAUAAAUCAUUAUUAAAAGAUAAUUAUGAUAAAAACCAUAAUUUUAUCUUUUAAUGUUAAUAAAAUUAGGGAUGUGCUAUCCACACACCCCAUUUUACUUCUCACACACCCCUUGAUAAUUUCUGUCCGUUGAUCUUCUUCAAUUCAUUCCGAUCUGACGGCCGAAAAUUAAAAAGGUGUGUGAGAAGUAAAAUGGGGUGUGUGGAUAUCAUACCCCUAAAAUUAUCUUCAUUUUUUCAUCCGACGGUUGGAAACUAUGCCCAUUCAACGGCUUUCAUUGCGCGGGCCAAUAAUGUAAUUUUGGGUCCAAACAAUAUUUAUUAAGGAGAGCUUGAGAGUUUGAAAUUGUACAAUAAUUUACAAACAAUUAAGUUUUGAACCCAAAACCUAUACGUAAAAACCCAACACUCUAUUAGCUAUAAUAUUUGACACAUGCAAAAUUUUAUUUUUCACUGAUAGUCCAUCACAGAAGGCCAAAUUUCUGAACAAUUUUAAUUAGCUACACCGGAUGAGAAUGAAAUAAAACGAAAAGAGUGCAUAGUUCAUAUAUCUAUACUAUUAUUAAAAGAACCCUCCAUGUCAACUUUUUGCCACUUUUUUUCCUAGCCCUCACUUUGAUAUACAAUACUUACAUAAGUAGGGCAAAAUAGUAAUUUUGUAUCUUUUAGGAAAAUGGCAAUCAUAUCCCUAUUUGUCCUAUUUUACCCUCACUUUUGAUACAUAAUAUUUACAUAAGAGCAAGUCCACCCCUAAGGACUUUGCGCCAGCACCCAGCGUAUUUAUCCACUCAAGUGAACAGUAAUAGGCCAAGGCAUCUCCACCCCUAAAAAAAUGCGCUGGCACCUAGCGCAUUUAUUUGGUGUGUGUUUUUUUUUUUUUAAGUUUAUUUCGGAUAAGAUUUUUAACCAAUUUCGGAUAAAAUUUCAAAUAAACUUAAAAAAAAUACACACUAAAAUAAAAUUACAUACUCAUCAAAUAAACUUAAAAAAAACACACUAAAAUAAAAUUACAUAAACUCAUCAAAUAAAUUAAGGAUGAGCUUUUUGGUAAUUUUUUUUCACACAAAAAGUAUAUGAAAGCUUUGGUAGAAGGUGUAGAAAAUAUUGAAAUGUGGUGUAAGGUGGAAGAUGAGGGUUAGGUAUUUAUAGAAAAAAAUAUUAACUUUUUUAAAAUUUUACUGUAUUUUUUUUAAAAUAAUCUGUAUUUUUUUAUAUUUUUAAUUAAUUUUAAUGUAGUUAAUUAAUCUGGACCGUUGAAUUUGAAAAAUAUUCAAAUCCAAGAGCCCAGGAUCGGCCACGUGGCCAACGCCAGCAAAUGGCCCAGCUUCUUGGUUAGCCUGUUUUGUGCUGGCCCAGAGACCAGCUUGGGCUGGGUGUAGGCUGUUUUGUGGGCUGGAGUGAAUGGACAGAGUCCCAGCCUAUUUUUUGUGCUGGGUGCUGGCCUAAUUCACCACCGGUGGACUUGCUCUAAGGAGCACAAAACAGUAAUUAUGUAAUGUUAAGAUAAAAUAUGCACUUAUUAAGAGAAAUUGUCACACCAUCAUUAUUUCAUACUCUUUUUAAAAUUUUAAAAACUAAUCACUCCUUAAUAUAAAAAACAAAAAACAAAAUGAAAUUGUUCACACACACAAAGUGUGUGCUCAUCUGCUAGUAAAUAUUAUAAUCAGAGCCUGGAUGCUUUACAUGAGAAGAGCAUACAACUCCAUAUCUCUGAACUAAUCCUCAACUGCUAGCUAGCCGAGCGCUAAAUACCAGGAUGGUACCAAGUAGUACAAAUAGUGGCAUGAAUGCAACUACGUACGUACGUAAUAGUUGUAACAGAUGAUCACUCUUAUUCUACAUAAUAAUAUAUGGAACCGAGCCAGCAAGCUAGUCAUCCAUGCAUGCAUCAUCAGUUGGGAAAUGGAGGCUUGUGUGGUGGUUUUUGAGGUGGCUUGACAGGGCGAGUUGGGGGCUUCUUCCCAGUACCAGUUGGGGGGUUUUAGUUUCCGAGGUGGCUUGUGAUCUGAGUCUCUUCCCUCCUCCACCACAUUCUCUUCAAGAUGACCAUCAUGAUGAGGUGGCUCAUCUCCCUUACCCUUCGGUGGCUUAUCUCCCUUACCCUUUGGAGGCUGCUUAACUGGCUUUGGUUUUGGGUCGUGUUCAGGGAAUGGCUUGUGAUCUCCAUCGUCAUUAUGUUCAAGUGGGGUUGGUGGCUUGCCUUUUGGAGGUGGCUUUGGCUUCUUUCCCUUAGGAGGCAAUUUCCCAUCCAAUGACUCUGCCUCUAAUAAACGACGUCCGGUGUUUUGUUUGUGAGGCGGCUUGUGCUCCGGUGGUGGCUUCUUACCCUUGGGAGGUUCAUCAUGACCUGGGCUUCCCUUGUUCUUCGGUGGUGGCUUUUCUCCUUUUUGGGAUUCCUGAUCACCUGGGUGUCCUGGUUUGUGCUUGGGCGGUGGCUUCUCUCCUUUCUUCGGUGGCUCGUCACCUGGGUGUCCAAUACCUGGGGUAUGUCCUGGUGGUCCUCUCUUCGGUGGCUCAUCACCUGGCUGUCCUGGUUUGUGCUCUGGUGGCGGCUUUUGUCCCUUUGGAGGCUGAUUGUGCUCUUGAGGUGGCUUUUGUCCCUCGGGAAAUUUGCCUUCCACCUCUAGCAAGUGGUGUUCAUUGUGUGGUGGCUUGUGCUUGGGUGGAGGCUUCUCUCCUUUGCCCUUGAGGGGCUCGUUAUGUUGGGUUGGGGGCUUCUUCUCCGGGAAUGAGAAAGGCUCUUCCUUGUUAAGUGGGGUUGGAGUCUUGUAAUUUGGUGGAUUGUGGGAAGGAGGCUUGUGAAUUGGGGGUUUCAGGGCAAUAGAAGGAGUUGAAGUGGUGAAAACCACCACUCCGACAAGAAAAACUAGCACGUAAUUGGGAGACAUCUUUAGACUCUUAUGUUCUGGGAUGCUUCGAAACUAGUAGAAGUGAGUGGCUUUUUAUAGUGAUGGGACAACACAUGUCGCCAUGCACUUGGAUUUUUUUAAUGAAAUGUGUGGACUCGUCGAAUUUUGUAUGGUUUGGUUUUUGUUAUGUUUGUACAAUUUUAUAUAUGAGGAGGGGUCCAUUUAGGGUUCUAUUUGAGUUGAAAUAUUUGACAACUUUUACGUUCAUACCGGGUAGGGGACCUGUAGGAAAGCUAAAUUACACGGUUCACAACUCACAUGCGGUCAGUGACCUGGUACUCUAGCAUCACUGAUCGAUAUUAUAUUAGAGAUAAUGUUUUAACUUUAGAAACGACAAGACAAAUAGAAAAUAUAGCAAGUUGCUUUUGCUCGUUUUUCUUUUAAACAAGUUGGAGAAAACAAUUUUACUUUCUUUUCGAAAUAAGUUCGAACUAAAUGGCCGUCUAUAUUCGUGCAUAUAGCCGACUGUAUAUGCACAAAUAAUUUUCAAGUUUUCUCUUCCAUAAACUAGAAAUAUUGACUCAAAUAUUUGACGUUAAUGCUAUAAAAAUAUUGAGCUAAUGAUUUAGUAAAACAAACAAUCCUUUGUAAAGUUAUUCACACACAAAUUAUAUAUUAAUCCAUCGAAUUGUAGUAUAUAUCUCGAAUAUAAAAGAGAUUCACUUCAGCAAAUUCAGAGACUUAUACCAAGUUAACAGACUAUAGCGUAGACCAAAUAGUUGUAAGAAAUGAAACUCACUUGUGCAUCAAAUAAAUAUGGUACACAAGACAUUACUCUUUCUUUUUGUUCUAUUCCAACGAUAAUUAGUGCCGCCUUCAAUGGUUUAAAGAUAUGGCUUAUCAAGUUGUGAUAAGAUUGAGUGUGGUUUUAGGUUCUUUUUCACCUAGUGAUUCAUGAUGCUGGCUUAUUAUAUGCUAUCCAUAAUCACUUUAAGGAAAUAAAUUAUGGAAACUAAAUUCACUUUUGGAAAAGCUAGCAUGAUGAAAUUAAUAGGAUAAAAUCAUCGGUCCACAGAUUUUGCUUUUUGUACCAAGAUCUUGUGUAUCCGGUAGAAUGAUGGAAGAUAUUUUACCGACUAUAUAUUUUAAGGAAAACUAAUGAAAAAACUUAAAAAUUUUGAGUUUUAACGAUAAGGACAAAAUAAAGGGUAAAAUGAAUAGUAUCAUGGUUGACUUUUUAGUGUAAAAAUGUAGUUUUUCAUUAAAGUGAAUAAUACUGGAAGUUUUUUGUUAAAGUUCUAUGUAUUUUAUUUGUUUUAAGUUUUUUUGUUAAUUACUACUAAUCCCUAUAUCAGCGAGCCUGCAAUGGUCUUUCUCCUUUUUCCACUUAGGAUGAUGACAUGUAUUUAAUGUCGAUAUAAACGACACUAAAUCGCAAGUUGUUUUAGUGCAUAGUUUGCGUGGCUAGAUAGCAGCUAGCUAGUUAAGCAGAGGCUGGCAUGAUUUCACGUAAACAACAUAAAGCAAUUUCAAGAACCGAUGUCAAGAUUAUAAGAGUUGAGUGUAUUUGUGGUACUCUUAAGUGUUUUACAAGUUUUGUCAAGAGCAUUGAAAUCUUUUCUUUUCUGUUAUGUGAAUUGUGAAUGACUGAAGAGAUAAACUUUUAGUACCCAUUUGAAUGGAGGAAUUCCAAAUCUAUGGAUUUUUUUGAUAAAAUUAAAAGAUUAAAUUGGUUGUUUCAACUAUUACAAUCAUUAUAUGCGACUAUUUAAAUAAGUGAAGGAAGAAAACAAAUGAGUUUCAAAUAAUUCCUUGCAUAUUGUUAUUUCAAAUUCAUUUAAACGUACUACUUUGUGUGUAGUUGUAAUCUUAUUUGUCAAUUCCAAAACGUUUCUCUUAAACUUCUUCCAUGCGAAGAGAGAGCAUUUUAAUACUUCUCUUCAAUUCUUAAAAGGUUUCCACAACUCGAAGCCUCUGGGCCAGUCAAAAAAUGCAGAGAAGUUGAAGGUCAAAUGGUCCAUCUAGCUUCCGUGAUAUAGAUGCAACAUGAUCGAAAUUUCCUUUUGUUUGCUUUCAGGUCUAUAUGGUUGCGUUUGCAUGUGCUGCUGUGCAUGCACUUAUAUGUUGUCGGUGUAGUGACAUUGUGUGAAAGCAUGAAGGCAGUUGUAUGAGUCAUGUGGCUGCUUUUUCUACAGGAUCUGAAGAAAAUUCUCUCUGUCACCUCGCCAUGUAAGGUUACUAAUUUAUUUAUGCUAUAACAUUUAUGUACUUAUUCAAAAUUAUAUUCUCUAGGUCCCUAAUAUUCAUCAAUUAUGUUAUUCAUGUAGAUGGUUUAGUAGCACUUUGGGAUAGUGUCACACCACAAAGUUCACGAUGAAGAGAUUUUUUAUUUGACGUCACUUCACCUGGAGGUCACAAAUCUACUCAUUAGGUUGUUAAUGGAUACCUAUUAAGACUCAUUUAGUUUAAUUUCACCUUACAUUAUCGUCACCACUAUCAAUCUUACAUUUAUAUUAUAAUGAUAUCAAAUUAAACAGGUCUUAAUGGAUACCCGUUAACAAUCUAAUGAAUUGACUAGCAGCCUCUAACUUCACCAAGUAGCUAGAGUUAUCAUUACUUACAACUAUAACACAUACAUACUUAUUUAUUAUAUUAAUCUUAAGUUCCAAAUUAAUCAUUUAUCAUGUUCUUUAUACAGCCUACAAAAUUACAUGAAUUAGUAACAUAGUCACACUACAAAGUUUCUGAAGAUUCUCUUCUGCAAUUUUGUACCUCAGCCUUUCAACUUGUGGGACAUUCUGUUGACUCUUUGUAUAACUACCCUAGUCAGCGAGAUGAAGUAAAGCCAGACUUCUAUGCAUUUCACAACAUAAAGCAUAACAUAGUAUCAAGGCAUGCAUGUGGACACAAUUAAGUAUUCCGUUACAUUUUGCAAGUGGUUUUGUACUGGUCCUAGCAUAUAUGUUCACGAGCAGUAUAUAAAGUCGACAUUAUGAUGAGAUCCCUGGUUGAUCUCUGCGGCUCUGCCGACAUGUUCUUCACAGCUUAGGGUAUUGACAAAGAUAAAAUAUAGUUGUUUUUCUUUAUUUUUAUACCAGCACCAGUGUGGUGAAAUUGAGCUCAACACAUCCAAUGCAUAUUAAAUAUUUUUAACCAAUUAAGCUACGAAUUUCUUACAAUAUUAUUAUUAUAUAUUGUUAAAAUUUUAGAAAUGCGAGCUUAAUGGUUCAACACCAAUAUUAUUCUCAAGUUAACCAUUUGUAGCCUAAGAGGUGAAAGAUUUUUUCCUUAAGACCUCGGCGUACUUAGGAUAAAACUAUUGUACAUAAUUUGUAAUAUUUUGUCAAAUCUUCAUUGUGGGAUUUCCGCGCUACCUCAUGUGGAACCAUAUCUCCAAUCGGCCACACGUGAAGAGAACUUCAACAUUGGGAAUGGAAAGACAAGCACGUGAAUGUUGAAUAUAAGUCCCACAUUGGAGAAUUAACAAUAUAUAAGUAUAUGAGUUCACUCCGAAAAAUAAAGACGUCUUUGUAAUAAAACCCAACAACCACUAAUAGGUGAUUCAAUUAGGAUAAUAUUGGCGUGGUUAGGAGUGGGCCAGUGACUGGUCUCCUUGAUGAUCAGACAUUGUACCAAAGCAGGUUUGAUUAUGAGUCAUGUGGGUAUCAUGCUUGAGUUAUUGUGAUUAAUGUACCACCAUGCUUCCACACUUAAUCUCGAAUGUGGGAUCGGCUGCACUUGUGGCCCACUAUGUUUUGGUCACAUGAGAGGGGGCAUGUUGAAUAUAAGUCUCAAAUCGGGAGAUUGUAAUACCCCGUAUUUAAAAAAUUGGAGAACUUGAGUAUGUAAUUUUGGAUAUCUCCACUUUAGAUAUUUUUGUGGUAUCUUAUGUGGCAAUUUGCAAUCAUCAGAAACUCAUUAUUAUGGUGAUUAUUCACUACUCUAUAGUGAUGGAGUGGAAGUCUAUAUAGCAUAAGUGCAUGUGUCUAAGUGCAUGAGUUUGGCUUUAUUUUCUCACAAAGGCUAAGUAGAGUUUUGCCAACCAUUAGAGAAUAAAGAGGAGGGGUUAGUCACCACUCUAGAUAGGUUGAGGUGAAAGUUGGUAAUUAAUAGAAGCUAAUAAUUAGGGUGUGGAGGUGGGAAGCCUUUGGCUUAUACGUAUGGCUAAGUGUUGAGUUUGGUUUGCUAUUUUUUCCAAGUAGAAGUGAGUUGGCAAGUUGAGUUAAUGUAGAGAGAUUACUCACCCCUAAACAUUUGAGAGGUGUGAGUCUAUAUAGAGCCAUAGACUAGGUAUGUGUAUGUAUUGGCAUGCAUGUGGCAAUAUGUUGUUGUUUUAGAGUGCUUACUCACUAGCCUAGGAGAAUUUUAAUUAAUUGUCUAUAUUCUCUCUUCAAUGCUUCAAUCUAUCAUUCCAAAUUUUCUAAUGAGGUGAGAACGGGUGGGAUGCAUAUUCCUUAGAGAUGAACAUGGCCUUGGAUGCUUGUAUCCACCUUGCAUAAUAUUGAUUAGCUUCACACAUGUCUCUUUGCCAUUUGAACACAUAUUAGAGCUAAGGUUUUGCUUAACAUUUGUUGCCUUGUGAUUGGAACAAUUUCAUGGUGAUGAUUAGGCUUUAAGCCAUCCUCCCUUUCAUAUUACCCAAUUACCUUUCUUUUACUUAUUGUUAAGGCUUUAAGCCAUCUUUCAUUGUAUUUGUAUGACCCUCAUAUAUAGUGAAAUACAAUGAAAGCAAACACCAAUGGAUGUAGUCGAUUUGGUGAACCACUUAAAUCUUGUGUUGUUUACAUUUUGAGAUCAUUGUUAUGAAAGCACUCUCACUAAACCAUCAAAAAUAUCCAUUUACUUCCCUUGAGAAUAUUGUAAAAUAAGGGGGGAACAAAUCCCAGAGAAAUACAUGAAACCUUGCCCAACCAAUCUCCACCAAACUCCAUCUAUCAAAAGAAAGAUAUCCAAAAACUAGAAAUUCGUCCAGCCUAUUUAACAGACUAAAACACCAUCAUCCAUAGAUUAUAUCAUAAUACUUUCUUCAGGAGAGUUGUUUAUCUGUCUCUCUACCAUGAUGUAUCAAAAUGUCAGUAAAAUCCAACGGUGCGAUCUUCCAAUAUGUUGAAAUUACAAACUCAGUCUCUAAUCCCGCAGGAAACUGGACAGCCAAGUUAUGAGCACUAAAACCCCAUUUUUCGUAGCUCGGGUCGAAACACUUCCUUAACAAAAGUUAUUCCUUAUCAUCUCCUCUAUAACAUAUCCAAAAACCACGAUAAUCUAAUCUAUGUGAUGACUUAUAUUCCAGUUCGAACAGCUGACAGUUUCAGCUGUAUUAAAGAAGAAGAAGUAGAAGUGGUGGGCUAAAAUAAAAAAUAAAAGAUGAUGUUUAGAAAGGGAAAAGCUAGAAACAUGAUUCCAUGCCCUGUGGCCUUUGAGACAUAUAUUUCACUCUAAAAAUUAUUUUCUCUAACAUGGAUGUCUAUUCUUUCUAAUAAAAACAGGUUGCUUGACCAAGAUGGAUGAGACGUUGGAAAAACAUAUAUUGAGUGAGCAACAUUAUAUAUGAUGGAUUAUAAAUUAUUACUUUGUUAUUAAUAUUAUGAUUAUAUUAUUCUUGUUACUAAUCAAUUUGAUUUAUGUUGAAGCUUGUAGGCUUGUAAGAUAAAGUGUGAGUAUUGAUAUCUAUGUGAACAUGACAUAUACAUAUGCAUUGCAAAGCAAGAAAAAGAGUUGUGUUGAGUUUGUAAGGUGUUUGAGUUGUGAGGAUAUUCAAGGGCUGAAGUUUGACUUGAAUAAUAAUGAACCUUGUAUAUGUUAGGCGUAGGGUGCAAGGCUUGAGUAUACAAAUUGGUUGAUUAUAAAAUAAUGAAAUCUUGUAUAUGUCAGGCAUAGGGUGCAGGGCUUGAAUAUACAAUUGGGCGUCAAGGGAAGUGCAUGUUUAAUAAAGUGGAAAUUGAGAGUUUAAUUACAAAAAUUGGGUUUAAGUGAUGAACGGGAGUUAACUAAUAUUCUAACGUACUCGGAGCCAAGUGGUAUAAGCAUGGUAUGGGACGUGCAUGCUUAGGUGCCUUAGGUAUGUGUUGACGGGAUUAGAAGGGAGUAAGUACAUUCAUCCAUCUCAUUUGCAUAUAUUUUAUGUAUUCAAAAGAAUUGUUACAAUUUAAUUAUUAUUUUGUUAGUAGUUUUUGUUGUGAAUUAGUUUGUGCACUAUAGUUAUUCCGAUGCGUAUUAUAAAAAAAAUUUGUAUGUAAGAUUUUGUUGAUGUAUGGUGUAAUUGUUAUAAUUUUUAUUUUCCACCAUAUCUUGGUUGUAGAAUUUAUUCCUAUAGUUAAGAUAUGGCUCACACCCUAGCUCGUGAAUAGUCUUUAUUCGCAGGUCGGGGUGUGACAAAGAUUAAGAAAAUAAGGUAGAAUAAGUGUAUGAAUUCACUCUUAAAAAUAUCACGGCCUUUUGUGAUAAACCCAAUACUUAGUAAUAGGUGAUUAAGAUGAGACAAUGUUGUGAAAAACUCAUUGGCGCCAAGUGCUAUAUGAAAUAUGAAUAUUAAGUAAUAAUAGUAUGGCACUUCGAAUUUGAUAUGAGAAAAUUUUUUUAACCCUUAAUUUAUGUAUCAAAAGAGUAGUGUGAGAUAAAAGGUUCUUUUGAUUUUAUCCCAUCUAUCAGGAGGCCUGUUUCAAAGUAAUAAAUUUUUUCGCACCAGGAGGCUCUUAAAAAUAUUUAUGUUAUGAAAGAACAUGAAAAUAAAAAAUAAACAAAUUCUUAUUUUCUUAAAAUCUGCUAUAUUUAUUUGAUAUUUAAGUAAGGUAAAAAUUCCAGAUGUACCCGUUCAAUUAUAUAUUGUAACAAAGGAAUACCUUUUUAUGUGAAAAAUGCCUGUAUCAAUAAUUAUGAUUUUAUGUAUGGACAAUUCCUUAAUAUUUUGUUCAUUUGCAACUAUAUUUUCUUUGUGCGGCAGUAAAACAAAUAUACUUUUUUGGAGAGAGAUACUAUUUCACUAAUCGAGUUACAAGUGUCCAACAUAUUCAUACCUAAUGAUUUGCCACAAAAUGGUGACGAACAGAUAACUUGUACAAAUCUUACAUUUUCCAAUUCGAUCUGAUCUAUUCAUUUGUAGAGCUAUUUACUUGAUUGCGGACAUAUAUGGUACAUUCCUAACAGAGGGAUAAAUAGUCAAUUUUGAAAAAACUUAUUGUCAACCUCUUUUUAGAUAUGAAUCUGUCUGAUUCAGAAGGAAAGAACUUACAUCAGUAUCUCAAUUUCAAUUCAAACAUGGGUUUGAUUCACAAAUUCAUGUUCUAAGAAAUAUUUAUCAUCUGAAAAGAGGAAAAACUGGGUCUUUGUCUAAAGAAAUGCCUUGAGAAAUGGCAGAUGUAUAGAACCUUUCAACGAGAUUGUAUUUUUUCAAACUCUCAAAAUGGAAUAUAACACAACAUAUAUGUCAAGGUUUCAUACUUCGACAGGAUACAAACAUCUAAAAUUUGAUAUUUUUGGAAUCUUUUUUAGACCCGUUGCCAAUACUAAGUAACAGCCAAAAAAAUUGUAUCAAAUUUUUAUGAUAUUAUGCAUGGAUCAGAUAUAUCAUGGCAAAUUCUUCUAUAUGAAGAAAUGAUUCAUCAAAAAUAAUGAGUCACCCUUGAUAUCGACACAUCUGGGAUCACCAAAUAUCUGAGAGUUCCUCUAUUCAAUCAUUUUCCUUAUUGCUGCUCGAUAUCUUGUUUGUACACAUCUAUAAUGAGUUACAGAUAGAGUUCAAAAAGUACUAACAUUCUUUUUGAACAAGAGACACAGUAUGGACAAAUAAAAAAAAACAAGAGGAACAAAAACGGAAUUUUUUUCAUAUAUACUUUUUAUACAUAACAUAUAUAAAGGGUGUAUCUCCGACAUUUAGAUGAAUAAAUGUGUAUCAUGAUUUACUGAAUAUGUACGUCGACUUCAUAUCAAUUAAUUUUUAGAAAAUAUUCAUAUAAAUUACUGAUGUGCCUGGAACUGAAAUUGUGUAAAAUUGCCUCUUUCACUAAUGAAUCAUAAUUACAGUACUGAAAGGACAAAUAUAGCAUUUGCUAUGUACAAAAGAACUCCUAACAACCUUAUAUAAAUUACACACAAUUGUAAGAAGGACAGAGAUCCUAGCUGGAUCUCCCCCACCAAGUCCUAAGGAUCUGGAGAUCUGGACCCUUGAAAUUUGAUCAAAUGGCUACAAUUAUUAUUACUUUUAGAAGGCCCCCUGUUUGUAGUUGUUGAAUCAAAUUUCAAUGAUCCGGAUUUCCAAAUCCUUAGGAUUUGGUGGGGUGAGAUCCGGCUGGGAUCUUUGUCCUUUUAAGAAAUCUACUUGCUGACUAGACUAGAUAAUAACAAAUUAUGAUGACUAGGCAUUUUCAUCUCUAGUGCUAAAUUUUAGCACGGCAGGGUUAGGGAAAAAAAGGAGGAAAAGGGGGAAAAGUACAACAAAAAUAAUAAAACCUUAUAUCAUCAAGUGGGAUCGGUUAUAUGAAUCCUAGAACGUUAUUGCGCUCGCAUGUCUUUUGUUAGAUCCAAGUAUUCCAAAUCUUUUCUUACAUUCUCUUUCCAAGUAUUCCUAGAUCCUCCUCAACAUUUUAGCAUGCUAUUCAUAAUGCUAUAAAAUGUCAAAAUGCCACAUUGGUUGAAAGGGUGAGUAAGAAAAGGGAUGGGUGGGCCUAAAUAAAAUGAAAUGACACUCCUGCACAGCAGCAGUAGAAACCAAAAAACCGACACCAGGCUGAGCAGCCAUUAAUUCCGAUAGGACCAGAGGGGUGGAACCACGCUCUUGGGCUUGAUUUCCGGCGAGGGGAGGGGCCCUGUCCCUCUGUAGCUUCGCCAUUGUGGGUGGCAUGUGUAGCAUUAUAACAACACAAAGGGAAUAAUUUCUACUCGAUCCUUUCUUCUUCUGCGCACGCUGUUUUUUUUUUUCUCUUAAUUCUUUCUUUGACUUGAUCAAUCCAAAUGUCCAAAAUAAAUAUGAAUGCGGAGAGGCAAAAAAAAGUGUGAAAAUCACUCAGACAAGAAACAUCCGUUAUCACUUCUUGAGAGUCAGUCUCCAUCGAGUCCCCUUUGAUUCUGUAAUUUAAUUCACAACAAUUGUGCAUUGCACCAAUGUACUGGUAUUUUCCCAAUGCACCAAUGCAGAACAUCUUAAAACGACUGCCUUCUUGAUUUCAGGUAUCGAAUUUGGAGCGCGCACAGACCAACUUACACAAUCUAGUGGUGGUACCUCAUAGCUUAGGGGCAGGAGCUGUGACUUUACGCAAGGCAACUGUUGUCUUUGAACCAGAUGAGCGCCCCAGGUGCUUGCAGAUAAAGUCCCCAGCCAACAUGAGCUUUUUAAGAUCUACAUGGGUCUUCAGUCCAAGUCCAUUAAGCAUGUACACAACAUCUUCCGUGGCAACAUUUCCGGAAGCUCCCUCCUUUAGCAUACGGACAACCCCCAAGACCUGAUACUGAUGAAUCCACUGUGAGGAUUCCUAUCUGCCAAGAUGAAAAUGUCAUUCCAGUUCGAUUAUCCUUUUUUCUUAAUAUAUGCAGUUCUAUUAUCCUUAAACAUUAAGAUCAGUCAGAAUUCUAGAAGUAUGGUCCGCUAAAUCAUGUAGUCACAAGAAAGGGAAUCAACUUGUGUUGGAGUGGCCCUAAAAACCUAUUGUCUCAAGUUUUAAUUUAUACUUUGGAUAGUGCACCUUUUUCACGAGCUCCAUUUGCUUAUUUUGAUGUCCAUCACGCUCUACUGUGACAAGCUCAGCACUAUGUAGAUGACUUCCAAUCCAAUACUGCAUGUUCGUACCAAUUUCAUUGAGCUUGUUAGUAUGCACGUAUCCACAAGCACUGCUAGCACUCCAAAGUAUUCCUCUCAGACCAUUGAGUAGGCAAAGGCGUAUUGAGUACCCUCCUUUACUUGUCCCUCGAUAAGUGCCAAAUGUACUUUGGCUUCGUUUUCGUACUUGCCUUUUACUUUUUUAAAUAAUUAUUAUGGAGGCCUUUCAAUCAUGAAUUGUUUAUUGAUAGUGGUAAUUGGGUCGAAAAUCCAAGACAAAAACAAUCGUUUGAAGACUUAUACUUUGAUUUUGACUGAUCUAAUCAUGUCAAAAAUUGCAACUACCUACAUUUGGUUUAAUUUUCCUGCUAAAUUCAAGAGCAGUGUGGAUUACCUGGAGUGACGCUAGUAUGUUUGAAAUAGCUUGCCCAUACGUGUCAUGAAAAUGGACAGCAAGCUUCAGUGGGGACCACACCAACAACAGCCUCAAGCAUUGGAAUGACACUAUCUAGAGUGGAAAAAAAAAAAGAAUUUUAACGAAAAAUCUACGAUACUGUUUAAUUUAACGAAAAAUCAUAUUUUUAUACUAAAAAGUCAAACUUGAUAACAAACAAACAAAAUACACUACCCAAUCCUCUUCCUCCGCAUCAUUAAGAUAACAACGCAAACUACCAUCACAAUCACUGGACUUAAAAAGACAGGGUCUGAAGUUUUUACUGUUAGGAACUUAUGACAUCUUUUGGGGAUGUUUUAUUUUAUAUUUUCACAGCGUCAGUGUUUAUCCCAGAAAGCAUAAGCCUUGAGGAAUACACCACAGCCAAAUAGUGUCUACUAUAUGGGAUAAACGCUAAACAAAUGAGACUAGUCAAAAUAAGUGAAUGGCACACUACAAGCCGAGCCUCAUGCUGCACAUUUCUGUAACUUUUCGGUCUUGAACUUCUAGUUUGGCUUUCCAACUUCUUUGUUUACCCAAAUGAAAUUAGCCCAAGCAAAAUUUAACUUUCCCAAAGUCAAAACACGCAAUCACUGGCCGGCAAACCCACAUCAUAGCAUGAAAGCUUAGAAAGUUUCUUUUUUCCUCCCAUUUUGAUGAAUACGCUAAAAGCCUAAUAGAGAAUUUAGGAUGGCAGAAGGAAGUAGUAUAAGUUCAACAAGAGCCAAGGCAUGAGCCAACUAAAUCAACAAGAAGAAAGGCGGACAAAAUUACCUGGAGUACCAACACCAAUUGUAUCACCAAGAGAAAUUUCUGAGCAACCCAUGUCAUAAAGUUCUUUCGCCACAUAUGCUACUUGUGAUGGGGAUAUCUUUCCUUCCACUGGACACCCCACAACACACGAUAUGUAUCUAAAAGGAUUAGAAAGGUAUAAUAUUGGAAUACUGCUCAGAAAAACAAUAGAAAUUAAAUAGUUCCAUAUAAAAAUAUUAUUUAGAAAGAAAGUAAUUUAGUUCCACUGGGAGUGAGAAGAACCCAUACCACCCUCCCCGACCCCCAAAGCGCAGAAAACAAAAAGUAGUUAGAAAAUAUACCCACAAAGAGGAAUUAAAAGCUUUCUGGCAGCAAUAGCAACAUCACUAUGACAAACGAGACUAUCUUCAAUACUGCAGUUUAUAUUUGAUUUUGAAAAAGAUUGAGAAGCCGAGGCAAAUAUGCCAACUUCUUUUGCACCAGAAGCAAUAGCUGCCAUUUCAUCGGAUGAGGAUCCUCUCCGGAUUCUCUUUGUGAGGAUCUCGGAGAUCCUCCAAUUAUGUUUGUUUAUCGUAUAUUGUGAGACUAGAAGUACUGUUUAUAUUUAAUUUUAAAUAAAAAAAAUUAAAAUGAUUUAUGACCGUACGAUAUACGAUGAACGGACACAAUUGAAGGAUCGCAGGGUUUCUCACAAAAAGGAUCCUCAUUCGUCUCUCUCUUCUUCAAAUCUUUUCUUCUCCCAUUUUAGUGCAGUUUAGAGUGGAAAUGUCAUUUGCAAAACUGCAAAGGGUUUGGUCUAAUGAAAAGUGAGCAAAAGUUUGGAAUUUCUAACUCGAAUUUGAGCUCUCACAAAUGCAUUUUUUGAGCAACCGGCCCCUAUUUUGGUGUAUUGUUUGAACCGAGGCCAAAAGUUCAAUAGCCUUAUUAUUCUUGCAUUAAGUUCCCUGAUUUAGUGAAUCAUGAGAAAAAUAAUAUUGGAUGAGACUAUUCAAAACCCUAGAAUACAGAAGUUGGCCUCAUCACCUUGUCCUUCUUGUACGUUGGAUUAUAUAGUCAUUCAUUUUACGGGGCAAGAGAUUUGACAUUUAUGGAUUAAUCAACUGCGCUUCUAAGUUAGGUUGGACGAACGCACCGAAAUCCCAAAGUGUCAGAGUGUCGGACACUCCGACACAGGUUGAACAUGAUCAAGACACUGGUCAAGGGGCGGGCAUUUUUAUAAAUUUGAAAAAUAUUUAGAGUCAGUUUUGGAAACAUAAAAACAUUGAAAGAUUUGGGGCAAUUUGGAAAUACAAAAACUAAAGCCUAAAAGCAACCCGUCCUAACCCAACUUCAAUCUCUUAUAUGCGCCUCCUUCCACUUCUCUUCUUCCCCUCUUCGCAACCGAUGCAGCCUCUUCUCUACGGCCUUCACUCUAGUUGCAUUCUAUUUUAAUUGGUUGUUUAAUUUGUUAUUGAGCAUAAACAUAUCUCUUCUUGUUUUUUUUUUUCUUUUUUAAAAGGAACAACUGGUUACAAGUCACGGUUAUACAUAUUUUUUAGAAGCCGAAAAGACUUACAUAGUCAUUUCAGCUUCCCUCUAGCUUCUUGUUUUAAUUAUUAUACUUGUUUUGUUUUAAUUAUUAUACUUGUAUUGUUUUAAUUAUUAUGUUUUGUGUUAUUUUAGUUAUUAUGUAUAAUGAACGAAUUUGAUAAACACAGUUAUUUUGUUAUAUUAUAAUCCACUAUUAUUUUUAAUAUAUGCAAUAUUUACUAUAAAUUUAUUAUAUUUUAAACAAUGUUUCCAUGUCCUAUUUUUUAAGAUUUUUCAUGUUCUUGUCGCCUGUAUUCGUGUCCAUAUCCGUGCAUCCUUGUAAUAGUGUAGGAUAACUAUUUUGGAGUGGGAAAUGUUUUGCCACUCUAUCCCUUAUCAAACUUUAACUUGAAUUUUAACCAUUGCUUGUUAUUGACUAACAUUUUGGGAAUUCCAACUGGAUCAUCAGCUUCCAGACUCUGUAACCCUCCACCUCCCUAAAGGAAGAAAUGGCAAACAAGUGAGUUCGAGUAUGUAGUGCAGCUACAUCAACACUUGAGCACGACAAACGUUACAUAAGAUCAACCUUUCCACCGUACGUCAGCUACAUCAUGCCUGCCUCCUUUCUUACUUCAAACAUUCAUUCAUCGUAUCCUUACUUGUUGUGGCCAGUCGACGGAAUUUGGAAAUAUAGCAUGCUUAGUUUGCGUCAAUUUCAAUAGGGAUUCAACACAAUCCAAUCCAUCAUGUUAAAUUCAGAAAAUUUGGACCCCAAAUAGAAUUAUAACUACCUUUUACAUUUGCUAUAAUUAUAACAAAAAAUUGAUAUAAAAGUACUAAUAUAACAUUAAAGGUUUUCUACAAGAACCAAAAAGCAAAAUUAAAACGAACAUCGGGUGUCUAGAUCUUAGUGACACUUAUAAGCUUCUUGUUGUUAGUAAAAGGAAGGCAUUUUUCUGGUGUGGUUGCAGAAAAAUGGAUUGGGAAGAACUCUUCGAAAGUUGGAGAAGAUUUGAAGGUCUUGCUCUCACAGUUAUCUGGUACUCGAGGGCUUGAGCAAUCACCAAGCGCUUUGUAUGAGGAGUUGGAGGAAGAAAGAAAUGCUUCUACAAUCGCUUCAGAUCAAACAAUGGCCAUGAUUACAAGACUGCAAGAGAAGAAGGCAGUGCUCCAUAUGGAAGCACUCCAGCAAUUAAGGGCUGAUUUGGUAUUGAUGUGCUUUGAAAAAAAAAACUGUUUCUGCUGUGCUGUGAGAAUAAGCAGCUGUGAAAUAAAACUGUAGAGUAUUUGGUAAACUUUUUUGUAAAAAUGCAUUUGAAAAAAAAAACAGUAGUAUAGUAUUUGGUAAAUUUUUAUGUAAAACAGAUGUGAAAAAAAUUCGGUUUUUCAAAGCUGAGUUUUGCAGCUUCUUGUUUUUGGCUUUUUUUCAUCAAAAACUGUGAAAAAAAAUCUAAAGCUGAAUGUUUAUCAAACACAAAAUAGCUCCCAACUUUUUUUUAUACCAAUUUUUUUCAGAAUCACCUUACUACCAAACCAGGCCUAAGAAUGAUGGAAGAGCAAGGCGAGUACGAUAAUGAACCGCUGCGAAAGAUAGACAACCUUCUUGUCGAGAAGAAGGAAAUACAAGAUUUAGAAGCAGAGGCUGAGGGCACUCCAUGCAUACUGAGGGUUUCUUGAACACACGAUUAACCCGAUUCUCGUUUCUCUUCAUACUUCCUUCCUCCACUCAUCUUCAUCCUUCAUUUUUUAUUUUGUCUUCAUGUUGCACUCCAUGGCUAAUGAAAAAAAAAAUGAAAACUAACAAAAAGUCCAAAAAAACUUCCCUUUUAAUAAAAAGUCAUUUUUAAAGGUAUAGUGAAUAGAAUCAGGGAAAGGUAUAAAUCUGGUUUUUCGUUAAAAGUGAACAGUACUGUUUUGUUAAAACUGUAAACAGUAAACUAAAAAAUGCACAUGGAAACCUAAUAGUAAGCCAACAAAAAUGAAUUCAGCCGUACAUUCUAUUAUUCUUGAAUCUUCAACUUGCCAGGGGUGGUACAAUAUAUAUUUGUUGUACGUUUGUUUAUUUCUCUACUCUUUUUUGUUCCACAUGAAAAUAAAUCUACAUGAAAAUUCAGAGGGAAGAGAAAAUAGGAACACCCGGCAAGGUGGCUCCUGCAUCAACAAUAUAAAUGUUGCCAGAGACAUAUUCAGAAGAGUCAUGUACCAAAUAUCGAACUAGCGAUGUCAAUGCUGGAUCUGAAGUGCCAAAUGUUCUUAAAGGGGCAGUUUUCAUAGCCACAUUGUGCAGCCAGUCUUUUUCCAUUAGACGCUCCGUAAUUUCCGAUCUGAAAAGUCCAGGUGAUAUUGCAUUCACUCUGAUUUUGUGUACCCCCAGCUCCAUAGCCAUAGUCUGGUUAACAUAACAAGAUUCAGUAUAGUACCAUAGAAGCUUUCACCUACACUACCAAGUGCAGAGAACUACAGAACAUAUUCCUUAAGAGAAUACUCAUAAUCAAAUAUAGAUAAUGAAACUUAUGAGAGAAGAAGAGAAGAAGAAAAGAAUAAGCAAAGGUAGUGUCGGUGACAUGACAAAGUUGAGGAUAAAAUCUUAAAAUGGCAACUGAUAAACCAGCAGUUAAAAUGUAAAACUUCGUUUGAAGUUAGAUCAUCAAUUCAUAUGUCAUUCCCAGAAAUCCUCCGGUGCAACAAAAAGCAAAAUGUGGUUGAGUGCAAUAACACGUUGGUCAAAACAGUCUGUUGGUUAUACGACAAUAGAGCCGCUCAGACCAUGAGCUUGUGAUAACCACAGCCUUGCGUCAACACACUUUAUUGACAGAUGAUAACAGCACAUGAAGAUGACAAGCAUUUUGGCAAUCAGACUUAGAACUAACGAACUAAAGAGACCAAGAAUCAAAACCGGCUUAUAAUGGGGGUGAUAGAAUUUGGGUCAACGGGCCGAGGGCCCCACUCCAACAACAUUGAUAUUGUCCCCAACUUGGUAAUUACCACCUGUCCAAUCCAUCAGGUGUAGGGUUUUAUCACAAAAGGUCUCGGUACUAGUUAGAGUGGGGGUAAUCAUAUUUAAACUCUUUUCUUUCUUCUUUCUCUCACCUAUGUGGGAUAGCCAACAGGGGCAUAAGAGAAAGUACACAGUAUAGCCCACUAGCAAUAUUCCUCUACUAGACUAAAAAAGAACUGAAAUACUCCUAGGCUGAUUUAAGUCCCUAAGUCUAUCUUUCCCAGGAAACUGUUAUUGGCACUCCAAAAAAGUCAUCUCGUACAAUUUCUGCCUUAUGUUUCCCAGGAGGCAGGCAUCCCUUCAAGUUCUUAUAUUUCAUUUAAAGGCCAAAAGGAACAAAAACAUAAUUCCUUUUCCUUACGCAAUUAAUAUGAUUUUCCUGAUUAGCAUGUUAAAGAUAAUACCUUUGUUAAGGUGUUUACACCAGCCUUUGAACAAUUGUAUGCUGUAGCUCCAGGCAAAUAUCCACGAUUAAGACCAGCAAUGGAAGAUAUAUUGACGAUUGACCCUCCCUGAUCAGCAUCUCGCAUGCGUAUAGCAACAAACUUUGAUACCAACCAGGAACCCGUUAAAUUUGUCCUGAAAACAUGAUUCCAUUCCUCCUCAGACAGGUCCAAUGCAGAACUCACAUUACCUAAGAAACACAGAUGGUAGUAAGCAUUUAUGAUACACCAACACAGACCUAUAGACCAACUAGUUGCGUGUGCCUGUGAGGUCAACAAUUGGUGAUUGGUACAAGACAGGAAUCAGGAUUGGGACUGAGUCUAGUCCAGUCCGAAUCCGAUAGUCCCACCCGCACCCCCUGUGGAGGUAAGAGGUAGAGAGCACAUGAUGAUGUUGUAUACAAUACUUGGGACAGUAGUCCAAUUCAAUAGUCGAGUAUCGUCAUUGUUAAGUUCAUGAACUGAAAGAACAGUCAAAUAAGUAAUUUGCAUUACCAAACAUAUAAUUGUAAAACAAAGGUAUAUUUGUUAAUUCCCCCCUCCCCUAACUAACUUGUAUAGAGCUGCAAAUUUCUUCCUCAACUUUAAUUUUUGACAAUUACCCUCCUGAAAUUCUCUAAUUAGCCAAUUUUCUCUUUGAAUUUUAAUGCCAAUUAGCCCAUGAACUUUUAUAAAUAGUCAAUUUCUCUAGAUUUUAAAAAAUUCUCAUCCAAUUUUUCAUCUAUUUUGAUCACGUGUAGAAGACGUGACAACUCUAUGAGAGCAAAAAGAAUGGAAAACUAACAACAACAACAACAACAAAAUUUUUUCCCACUAAGUGAGGUCGGCUAUAUAAAUCCUAGAACGUCAUUGCGCUGGGUUCUAUGUCAUGUACUCCAUUAGAUCCAAGUACUCUAAGUCUUUUCUUAGGUCUCUUCCAAAGUUUUCCUAGAUCUUCCUCUACCCCUCAGCUAGAUGAAUGAAAAUUUUAAAAUCUAACCCUAAGCGAAAUUGGCUAUUUAUAAAAUUAGAAAGGGCUAAAGUUAAAUUCAGAAAGAAAUUUGCUAAUUACAAAAGCUUAAGAAGUAAUCAGGAAUAAAUUUGAGGACAAUCCGACAAAUACCUCUAAAACAAAUAAUAUAAAAGGCAGAAAGCCAGCCAAACCAACCUCUACCGGCAUUGUUAACAAGGGCAUCGAUGAGCCCAAACGCGUCCCAAGCCUUGUUCACAGACUUCUCGAUAGCUGGGCCAUCGGCGCUGACAUCCAGCUCCACGGCCACAGCCCUCGGGCCUCCACCAGUCCCACUAUCAGCAACAGAAGAUGAUGAAGAAGGAGCGGUGAUGGAGAGCUGGUUGAUUUGAUCGCACACGGACUGAAGGCGGUCGAUGCGGCGAGCGGCGGCUACGAUUCUGCAGCCGGCUUUAGCUAAGUCUAAGCACAACUCGCGGCCGAGGCCAGAGGAAGCGCCGGUAACCAUGACGACUUUGCCGUGGAGGUGGCUCCAGGGCUCCAGGUUGUCCGACAAUCGAUGAGGAUUCUCCAUGUUUGAUAAUCUGUACUCAACUAUGAGCUAUGAAUUAUAUAGAACAAGGAAGAAGAGACUUACAUGUGAAUGUGUGAUACUGCGAAAUCUUGACCGUUGGUGGCUUCGAUAUGGACGGUCAUGAUUUGGGGUGAUAUAUUUGUAGUUGCUGGACGAAAGCAUGUUUGGUGAGGUAGUCGGCUUGACUUGACCCACUUCGAUUAUAGGAACGGAAAGAGAUGAUAUAUUUGCAGUUGCUGGACAAAAGCACGUUUGGUGGGGUAGUCGGCUUGACUUACCCACUUUGAUGAUAGAAACUGAAAGAGAUCCGUCCGGAUCUCUUUCGCCAAGCUUACCAGAUCAAGUGAUCCAAAAUUUUGAAUUUUCAUCUAAUAGUAAAAAAUUAUUAUAGUUUUUAAGGGAUCAAAAUAGGUGGAUCGUUGAGAAAAAUAAUAUUGGAUGAGAUUAUUCAAAACCCUAUAAUAUAGAAGUUGGCCUCAUCAUCUAGUCCUUCUUGUACGUCGGAUUAUAUUGUCAUUCCUUUUACGGGGCAAGAGAUUUGACAUUUAUGGAUUAAUCAACUACGCUUCUAAACUAGGUUGGACAAACACUCCGAAACCCAAAGCGUCGGAGUGUCGAACAUUCUGACACGCCGACGCGCCUCCAACACAAGUUGAACAUGGUCAAGACACUGGUCAAGGGGCAGGGGCAUUUUUAUAAAUUGAAAAAUAUUUUGAGUCAGUUUUGAAAACAUAAAAACAUUGAAAGAUUUGGGGCAAUUUGGAAAUACAAAAACUAAAGCCUAAAGCCAACCCGUCCUAACCCAACUUCAAUCUCUUAUAUGCGCCUCCUUUCACUUCUCUUCUUCCUCUCUUCGCAACCGAUGCAGCCUCUUCUCUACGGCCUCCACUCCAGUUGCAUUCUAUUUUAGUUGGUUGUUUAAUUUGUUAUUGAGCAUAAAUAUAUAUCUCUUCUUGUUUUUUUUUUUAAAGGGAACAAUUAGUGACAAGUCACGGUUAUACACGUCUUUCGGGAGCCGAAAAGACUCACAUAGUCAUUUCAGCUUCUUCUUGUUUUAAUUAUUAUACUUGUUUUGUUUUAAUUAUUAUACUUGUAUUGUUUUAAUUAUUAUGUUUUGUGUUAUUUUAGUUAUUAUGUAUAAUGAAUGAAUUUGAUAAACACGAUUAUUUUGUUAUAUUAUAAUCCACUAUUAUUUUUAAUAUAUGCAAUAUUUACUAUAAAUUUAGGGGUGUGAUAUCUACACAUCCCUUUUUACUUUUCCCACACAUUUUUUGUUUUCUGUCAUCGGAUGUGAUAAUUGAAGAAAAUCAACGGACAUAAAUUAAUAAGGAGUGUGUGAGAAGUAAAAAGGGGUGUGCCACACACCCCUAAAUUUAUUAUAUUUUAAACAAUGUGUCCAUGUCCUAUUUUUUAAGAUUUGCCAUGUUCCUGUCGCAGUGUCGUUGUAUCCGUGUCCAUAUCCGUGCAACCUUGUAAUAGUGUAGGAUAACUAUUUUGGAGUGGGAAAUGUUUUGCCACUUUAUCCCUUUCAAACUUAAACUUGAAUUUUAACCAUUGCUUGUUAUUGACUAACAUUUUGGGAAUUCCAACUGGAUCAUCAGCUUCUAGACUCUGUAAGCCUCCACCUCCCCAAAGGAAGAAAUGGCAAACAAGUGAGUUCGAGUAUGUAGUGCAGCUACAUCAACACUUGAGCACAACAAACGUUACAUAAGAUCAACCUUUCCACCGUACGUCAGCUACAUCAUGCCUGCCUCUUUUCUUUCUUCAAACAUUGAUUCAUCGUAUCCUUACUUCUUGUGGCCAGUCGACGGGAUUUGGAAAUAUAGCAUGCUUAGUUUGCGUCAAUUUCAAUAGAGAUUCAACACAAUCCAAUCCAUCAUGUUAAAUUCAGAUAAUUUGGACCCCAAAUAGAAUUAUAACUAAAGGAAAUCUGAAGGCAAAGGUAUAGCAGGUUGAUGAAUUGUAUAAGCUCAACUCAAUGUCGAGUGAGUAUUCAUUCACUUCUUUAUAUAGAGUUACAAAAGAUAAGGUUGUUACACUUGAUAAACAUUUGAAUCAGAAAAAUAAAUACAAACAGGUUGAAUCAGAUACAAACUGACACGCCCCGACCCUGAUAUUCCCCGAAUACCAGGACCGACACGUGCUGGCCGACACCCGGGGGUGACGAAAGCCAUUAAUUGAUACAAAAGCUAAGAAUAAGAAAUAAAUACAGGUUAUGAAUUUAAAAACAAUGAAUUAACAAUUUAGGAACGUGUUCAGAGCAUACAACUAAACCUAGUCACUAACAAGAAUUAAGAUAAGAUUAAAUGAACAAAGGAGUGGGUCCUACCCCGAGAGGACUCGAAGAUGCCGCUGCGGAAGUACCUUAAUGCCAGGAUUCUAUGCCUCGUUUCUAAGACCUGAAUGGGGGCGCAAAACAAGGGUGAGUGGACCAAGUUUAUAUACAUACAUAGUACGAAAACAGUUAUGAACAUACUAACCCCCACAGUUUAAUAAUGAAAACUACUAGAAUAAUAAGUGAUAAGCUUUUCAGAAACCUUUAGCAUGCCAUAAAACAAUUCAUAUAUCCAUCUGCAAAUCAAUCUCAGAAAAUCAUAUCAGAAAUUAUCUCAGCAAUCAUGUCAGGAAGCAUAACACAAGUUGUGCUGCUAGUGAGUGCACUGAAUAACAAUACUCCCGGCCCAAUGCCUGCACCUCAGUCUCUGUGCCCGUAGCCAGAGAUAUCUCCCUCCCGGCCCAAUGCCUGUCUCCGUGUCCCUCAGCCUUUCGCUAGGGAUUAUUUCUCCCGGCCCCAAUGCCAACACCAGAUCCUCGCCCCAGGCGGCAUAGUGUUCACUAGGUACGCACAAAACAUAAUUCAUCUCUAAAAUACAACUUCGUAGCAUAAAUUCAUCGAUCCUCUAUACUACGAAGAGGUGUUCGAAAGUCAUUUGAAACACAUUCUUAGCAUCCUAUCGUCAUCGAUCAGAUAGUCUACUAGAAUGAGGGUUCUAUAGAAAAUACAAUAUAAUGAAAAUAAUUCAAAACAUAUAUAUAAUCACGUAUAAUCAAAUCAUCAUGCUUCCUGUAAAGUAUUUCUCAAAUCAAUAAUUCUGCAAGGCAUGCUAUUAAAUUAUGCAUUUCUAUCAAUAAAACAUGCAAUUUUCGAAGGUGGUCCACUCACAGAUACUCCGAAGCAGCAGAAUUGUGUGCAAAAAGAUUAAGGAAGUCUCCACUAGCAACUUCACCUAAGCACGAAAAUGUACAAUUUAAUAAACUACCCAAAAGAUAGAAUUUUAGGAAAUGGAAAUGGGUUUUGGGUUUGGGUAGGUUAGGAACAAGAGGGAGUUUUAGGCUUAAGCCUAAACCCACCCUUAUACACACACGGCACACACACCACACAUUCACACACAUACCUACACCACACAUACUCCCAGAGCUGCACCGCACAACGCACACACUGUACACUUCAUAUAGUACACAAACAUACACAACACACACGUGCACCAUACACCAACAUGCCAAACACACCCACAGACAGCAUGCACAUAUAUAUAUAUAUAUAUAUAUAUACAAAUAUACACACAGAGGCAACAUGCAUAUAUAUAUAUAUAUAGAUACAUACAUAUAAACACACACGCAUGCACAGCAUGCAUAUAUAUAUAUAAGCACACACACGCACAGCAAGCAUACUUACACACACACACACACACGGUUCACGCACACACACUUGCACAACGUACACACUGCACAAACACACACUCACGAACUCGCCGGAGUUCGUCGUCGGAACCGGACAUGCAUGCACAAGGGAUGGUAAGAGUUAGGGCUUGAAUAAGGGGUUCUAAAACUUCACAAAUAUACCUAAGAACUCACCUGGACGCACUGCAGCAGGUUUUGGGAAGAGAUGGACCUCGAACUCGUCGGAGUUCGUCGUCGGAGCUAGAUUAUUAGCACAGAGAAAAACUGAGAUCAAAACCCUUGAGUUUUGUCAUAAACUCAUCAUGCACAACCCAGAAAUUUGAAGAAGGAACACAAUCCUCACCUGGGUUCGCGUGUUAGAGCUUUGAAGCUCUCGGCUUCAAUGGCAGAAAAGUCCACAGUGCUCUGAUGGCGCAUGCAAGGGUAUCGUUGAGUUCGUUAAGUCUCAAGGAUCCCAAAUAUAUGGUUUUGGGGUUUGAUUUGUGAGGGAAGUGAGGUGAAAGCUAGAGAGAAGCUCUCGGAGCUUAGAGAGUGUGAGAAAGAGAGAGAAGAAACCGAAAGAAAGAGAGCACUGAGAUUCUCAGAUGUGUUUCGGGCAGAGAUGAAAGGAAAGAGGGAUCUGAGAGCUGCCACAUGGCAGUUUAAGAUCAAUAGCCUUUCUAGAUCAAGGGUUAGGAUUAAAAGAGAAUAAGGGACUAAAUUGAUAGAUAACAAAUAUGUUCUAGGGGAAAAUAGAAAUAGAAUGAAAAAUGGGGGUGGGGUAUAACACAAACAUAUUUGAGAGAGUUGUGCGGAUAAUGGACUGUGUUGUUAUGAUCCUUUCUGUUGCAGAUUGCAGCGGGAAGGUUGUGGUUGAAUUGGUGGUGCUGACUUGGACCUUUCUUUAGGGUUUGGAGAUUUAUCUGAACUAGGUUUGUCAAUAACCACCUUUUAAAUUUGCUAUAAUUAUAACCAAAAAUUGAUAUAGAAGUUAACAUUAAGGGGGCGUUUGUUGUACCGGACUGUCUUAGACUGGACUAGCUUCAAGGACUAAGCUGGACUGGCUUAGACUAGACUAAGCUGGAUUAACUUAGUGAAGCGUUUGGUGCAGUGUCGGACUAAAAAACAGGAUAAUUAACAAAACUGAAAAAUUAUAUUAUUUUAAAGCAUAUCUAGAAUAUUUUAUAUUAAUUCUUCCUCUCUCUUUUUUUCUUCUAGAAACCCUUUUUCUAGAAUGCUCCAUCUUCUCUGCCUCACCACUCCCCCUUUUUUCUCCAUCCGUCUCAAUCCUCUCUGCCUAUUGAUUGUUUCCUUCAGCCAUCUAUUGCUUUCAUGGAAUCCCGUUUCCAAAAAAAUCAACCAAUGAAACACCUUUCAAAAUCCCAUCUCCUUUCAUGCAAUUCCCCAGUUCUUACUAAUUACCAUUCCAUUUUCUUUUGUUUUCUCUUUCAAUUUUCUAGCCAACCAAACACCUUUCAAAAUCCCUAAUUCCAAAUAAUUGCUCACCUUGUCUGGCGUACCAGAUUCAGAUUAUGGUCCACUGAAAACAAGAGUCAAAAAUUGAAUUCCCACAACAGAACGUGACUGGUGGGGAAAGAAUCAACGGAAGCAGGGUGGUUGGUAAGUGAAAAUUAAGGGUGUUUCUAGGAGAGAGCGAUGUAUGUAUGUGUGCGAUCUGAGAUACCAAAAGACCCAGAUCGUGGAAGACCCCAAAUCACCGAACCCAGAUGAAAAAAAUCCUUAUUUUCGAGGAUUGAGAUCUUGUAAGUUGGAAUGAUGCACAAGGUUUGGAUGAGGAAGAAGAUGAAAAUGGUUGUGGGAGCGAAGAAGAAGAAGCAGGGGCGAAACGAAAGAGGCUGAGCGGAGAUGGUCUUAGCGAGCCCCGUGGUUUGUGGAGGGUCUCGCUAAGAACUUCUAGUGAGGCUUCUAAUCCACGCGAGUCCCCUUUAGUCCCAUUUAACUUAGUCCCAAUACAAACCAAACAUAGGACUGUAGUCCAGUCUAGUCCAGUCCUAGUUAAUGAGGCCAAACAAACGCCCCCUAAAGGUCUUCUGCAAGAACCAACAAGCAAAAUUAAAACGAACAUCGGGUGUCUACAUCUUAGUGACACUUAUAAGCUUCUUGUUGUUAGUAAAGGAAGGCAUUUUUCUGGUGUGGUUGCAGAAAAAUGGAUUGGGAAGGACUCUUCGAAAGUUGGGGAAGAUUUGAAGGUCUUGCUGUCACAGUCUGCUACUCGAGGGCUUGAGCAAUCACCAAGCGCUUUGUAUGAGGGGUUGGAGGAAGAAAGAAAUGCUUCUACAAUCGCUUCAGAUCAAACAAUGGCCAUGAUUACAAAACUGCAAGAGAAGAAGGCAGUCCUGUUGUGCCUUGGCCCGUUCAUUAGUGCGGAAACGAGAUUCAGAUUACAACCACACCUAAAAUCACACCCAGUUAAACAGAAUAAAAUACAAGAAAUAAAGACAACGAGAAAUUUACGAGGUUCGGCAAAAACCUGCCUACGUCCUCAGAGAGAUAUUGCUCUUCACUAUGAGAAAAACAGUACAAGUUACACAUAAGUUAAAUCGACAUAACCCAAUCCCAUAUCCCUUGUACACCCACUCACAGAAUUUUCCCAAGAGCCUCACUCUACCCCAAGAGUUCUUUCACUAGAGACCUUUCACUCUAGCUCUCUUGAUUUUUCUCACCCGUGCCCAUACUUUCCCAUGGGAGAGCCGAAUGCUCUCCCCCUUGGAUGCUCUCUCAUGCCCUCUCAAGAGAGAGCCGAAUGCUCUCUCUCUCUCUCUCCUUCUCCACUUCGGCUCCUUGCAAUUAAAUGGACAGAAAAGUGAGUUAACUUCUCCUUUUUUUCAUAGACACAAUGAUGAUCCAUCAUGCUCCCUUUUCUCAAAACCCAAAACCACUUUCGGCAUGCAAAUGGGAAAUGAAUAAAAAAUGCCAAAACAAAAGGAAUCCCAUGAAACAUCAUCAUUGUCUUCCACUAUUAGCCAAAAUGAGAUAUGGACAUAUUUGGCCACUAUUCCGAAAGCAUAACACACAAAGUCACUUAAUUGUUAACAGCUCAAAAUAUGAGCCAAUCACAACAAUCUCCACCUUGGCGAAUACACCAUGCAAAAAUCCUUGCACCCAUCACCAAAGUCCAUUGGCCUUACGUACCAGCAUGCACACUCUGAAUCCACCUCAUUGGUCCUGUUCCGAUUCAGUCACUGCCAAUGCAUGUGAAGCUGCUGCAAGCUAAAAAUCACAAUUUAGCUUCAGACAGGAUCUCGACACAUCCUCGUCUCCUCCAACAGUUUUUUUUUCCCCUUCUUUAUUGUCUGCAACUUGGAAACUCGUCAGUGCACCCGUUUCCAGCAACAACCCAUCGAGCCAGACAAAAUUCCCCACACUUCUCUUCCUUCAGGACCAUCUCAUCACCUGUGAAUCCCUUAGCUCCACCUGCUGCAAAUCCCUUGCAACACUCGAGACUAAACAUCACCAAGAGAAGUGUUGCUUCGAGUACCUAGAGGGCAUACUCGAAGUCUUCCACCACAAACUUGCUACAACUCGGUCUAGCACCUGUAGCACUGUGGACCCUUGCCUCCGGAACCGGAUCUGAACCUGCUGUCUCUCUCAGAUCCUCUUUCCAAUUUUCUUCCACGAUUCCAACCUUUAAUAACUUAAGGAGUCUUGUGCCCACCAUUAUCCAUGGUCUCCUUUGUGUAUCAUUCCACACCAAAGAAGCUUGCACCUGCUCCAAACUUACUGUAACUUUCCAUGCAGUAAAGUUUCACAAGGUUAUAAGACAAAUCUGAAAGUGAGGUAAGAAGAAAGAGGCCUUUGUCUUCUUCCUCAACAUCAACUUUCGUAGUUGAUCUAAGCAUCCCUGAACACGGCUUCCAUUUCUUCAGGCUUCCAUUACUCUCCAUUACCAAGAGUAAAAUUGCCUCUCCCUUUAAACUGCUCAACUGAAAAUUCCAUGGUGAACAACAAAUCUGGACCUCCAACGAACCAAGCUUCCAACGAGCUCUGAUACCAAUUGUUGUGCCUUGGCCCGUUCAUUAGUGCGGAAACGAGAUUCAGAUUACAACCACACCUAAAAUCACACCCAGUUAAACAGAAUAAAAUACAAGAAAUAAAGACAACGAGAAAUUUACGAGGUUCGGCAAAAACCUGCCUACGUCCUCAGAGAGAUAUUGCUCUUCACUAUGAGAAAAACAGUACAAGUUACACAUAAGUUAAAUCGACAUAACCCAAUCCCAUAUCCCUUGUACACCCACUCACAGAAUUUUCCCAAGAGCCUCACUCUACCCCAAGAGUUCUUUCACUAGAGACCUUUCACUCUAGCUCUCUUGAUUUUUCUCACCCGUGCCCAUACUUUCCCAUGGGAGAGCCGAAUGCUCUCCCCCUUGGAUGCUCUCUCAUGCCCUCUCAAGAGAGAGCCGAAUGCUCUCUCUCUCUCUCUCCUUCUCCACUUCGGCUCCUUGCAAUUAAAUGGACAGAAAAGUGAGUUAACUUCUCCUUUUUUUCAUAGACACAAUGAUGAUCCAUCAUGCUCCCUUUUCUCAAAACCCAAAACCACUUUCGGCAUGCAAAUGGGAAAUGAAUAAAAAAUGCCAAAACAAAAGGAAUCCCAUGAAACAUCAUCAUUGUCUUCCACUAUUAGCCAAAAUGAGAUAUGGACAUAUUUGGCCACUAUUCCGAAAGCAUAACACACAAAGUCACUUAAUUGUUAACAGCUCAAAAUAUGAGCCAAUCACAACAAGUCCUCCAUAUGGAAGCACUCCAGCAACUAAGAAUGAUGGAAGAGCAAGCUGAGUACGAUAAUGAAGCGCUGCAAAAGACAGACAACUUCUUGUCGAGAAGGAGAAGGAAAUACAAGAUUUAGAAGCAGAGCAGAAGGCACUCCAUGCAUACUGAGAGUUUCUUGAACACACGAUUAACCCGAUUCUCAUUUCUCUUCAAUAUUUAGCAUACCCUAGACAGAAUUGCACCGUUACAGUUUGAAGUUUGCUUUCUAAGUAUUCUUCUCUCUAACAUUUGCUGAAAUUGGUAUUCUGUCAAGUUUUCUGUUUUGAUAUCAAUUGUGAAGAAUGAAAUUCCAAAACAUUUUAUCAUACUUGCUUAGGCUAUGUGUUCCUCAACAAGCAUGCAAGCCAAGCUAAGGUAAGCUACCAAUGUUAUGUGAGACCUACUUCAUACAAGACAACGAGAUGACAGCAAGAGGAGAAUGCACGAGAGAAAAACUUGAAACCGAAAACAACUUCAAAUGUUUUUCGAUUUUGAUUUCUAGUUCUCAUGCACUGUACCAUUUUGUCGUAUACAUUUCUUCCACCAUCCUUCCUCCACUCAUCUUCAUACUUCAUUUUUUAUUUUUGUCUUCAAGUAGGCAUUCUACGGCUAAUGUGUUGGAAAAAGUUAUGAAAAUUUGCUAUAUAUUUUAUUAUAAAUUAUUAAAUAAUACACAAUAAAAUCUCUAUAAAUGCAAGAAGAACAAGGAAUGGAAGAACCUUAAGAGAUUGAGGGUAGAAUUUGAUUCUAUAACCUUAAGACAAGAUUGCCCCUCAGUGGUGCCUCAAGGUUUGCGUUGGCAAAUGUCUCUCAGGAUACAAUGAUCUUUCUCUUUGCGGAAGUAGCACUCGAAUCCACAAAGAACAGCGAACCAAAAGUGUUUAAAACUCUCUCUUUGUUGAACACUAAACUACUCUAAUUUCUAUAUGAUUUCUGAAUGCAAAGCAUAUUUAAAAUGCUUGACUUGGUGGUCUAUUUAUAGGCUUUGGCAUGCCCCUUUUCCAAAGGUUGUAUCUGCUUCCAAAAGGCAAAGGACGCAACCCUUAUUCAAGAUUACAUCUGCAACCGAAACACAAGGGUUGCGUUUGAUUUCUCAUAAGACAAAGAUGCAACCUUUUCCAAAGUUGCAUCUGUUUUCAAACUGACAAAGGUUGUGACCUUUGUUCAAACAUGCAUAACCCUUGAAAACUGCCGGUCAAACCCAUCCAUGACUAUUUUAAUUUCCAUUUUAAUUUCCAUUCACUUGAACAUUAAAAUUUAAAUAUUAAUAAUACUAAUAUUUAAAUAUUAAAUUUCUAACAUAAUGAAGAAAAAACUGUAAACAGUAAACUAAAAAAUGCACAUAGAAACCUAAUAGUAAGCCAACAAAAAUGAAUUCAGCCGUACAUUCUAUUAUUCUUGAAUCUUCAACUUGCCAGGGGUGGUACAAUAUAUAUUUGUUGUACGUUUGUUUAUUUCUCUACUCUUUUUUGUUCCACAUGAAAAUAAAUCUACAUGAAAAUUCAGAGGGAAGAGAAAAUAGGAACACCCGGCAAGGAGGUUCCUGCAUCAACAAUAUAAAUGUUGCCAGAGACAUAUUCAGAAGAGUCAUGUACCAAAUAUCGAACUAGCGAUGUCAAUGCUGGAUCUGAAGUGCCAAAUGUUCUUAAAGGGACAAUUUUCAUAGCCACAUUGUGCAGCCAGUCUUUUUGCAUAAGACGCUCCGUAAUUUCCGAUCUGAAAAGUCCAAGUGAUAUUGCAUUCACUCUGAUUUUGUGUACCCCCAGCUCCAUAGCCAUA